rnacentral:lncRNA from 1 species
UUUCUUGCAGGCUGCGUUUGUUCCCUCUUCAGAGAGUGCACUAGAUACCAGUUACUUCACCAGUCGUUACUCAUGGAAUCCUUCAGAUGAACAUGUAUAUCAACCUAGUGACAUGGAUGAUUCCAGUGAUUCUGAUAGCUUAAGUGGCAGCAGCAGUUGCUUGAGCAACCGUCAUGAGGAAGUGGUACGUUAGUUCAAGAAACAAGCGCUUUUAACUACUGAUGCGAAUAUAUUUUGUAUUUGCCGUAUAUCCAUAUAAUUCACAGCACUGACAUGAUCUUGGGCAACGUUCAUUGACAGGGUGAUGAAUGUGGGGGUCUGACAGAGUUCGAGUCUGGCUCUUCUAUCAAUUACUCUUUCAGUAAUUUCUCAUUUAAGGUAUUUCUUUACUUACAAGGCUGUCGUUUCUUUUAUUAUCUCUAAAAUGACCACUCAAGGUGCUUAUACUGUAAUUGAUCUUGAGUUUGUCUUCAUGAAUAGCGUGUUUGAUGCCAUGUUCGAUAGAUUUCCACUGUGAAUGUUGUUGAGCCGUAUUUCAAUAUAAUUUUCACCUUUUCCUAAUAUAUAAUCUUACUAUAUUUUCUUAUGAUCGUGGUCCAGAAUCUCUCCCAGCUUGCAUCAAUCAACUAUGAUCUGCUUUCAAAGGGUUUCAAGGAUGAUCGGUCACUGAAUCCCAGCACGUAGCAAGUUGCUCCCGGUUGUCAAAAGCCGGGAUUAGGGUUCUAGCAGUUAAAUGAUUUGGGCUUGUUUUUUGGGGCCUAAACACCUCAUCGGUGUUUGUAUACCCUGUACAUAUGAUCUCCGAUCGGUUUUUCUCUUUUUCUUUUAUAGUAUGUGCAGUUGAGCAAUUUGGGUGAUGAAUCUGCACCUGCCGAAACUGGUUCGGAAUGUGCUCUUUGCUCUCAUAGGUUACUUCUCCGCCGCAGGGGAGGCGAUUUUACGGUCGAGUAGUCUUUUGUAUCGUGAGGAAUUUGAUGUAUCCUAAUUCAUAUCCCCUGUGCUGGUUGAGCUUGAGUAUUUUUGUCACCAGUCGGUUUUCGCCAUGGCAAUGUGAAAACACAUCCGUUUCUGUUCCAAAUUGCCUUGUAUCUUGUUUUACUCGAUUUUCGAAAAUCUUUCUUGCUUCACACGCUACACAUACGAUGGGUGUUUCCGAGUUAUAACUCAUGCAAUGCAGCAUAAAACUUUCCAAAACUAAUUCAAAAUCGUUAAGUCUUCGUGACAUGUACCACUUUUUUGUGCCCUAUAUGUAAUUUUUAUGAAACUUGGAUGUGGGUGUUCGAAGGGUAUUUUUAAAAUUUAAUCAAAUUGACCUUCAAUCUUAUAUCUAACUAGCUCCUAGCUCCUUAGCCCUCGCUCGCGCAUGUGCUAUAUCAAUCAGUAACAUGUAUCAUUUAAGCUGUAUUUGUGUUUUGAAUUUAACUAUGUUCAGAAUUGAAGCAAAUCGAACAUAUAUCAUAUCCGCUUUUAGUGCAAGAUUGAAAAUCAAAUAGGUGAAUAGGUGUUUCCGUAAAAGAGUUGUCUAGAAGGUCUUGUUGAUAACUAUUACUAUGUGGAUUGUGGACGCAAGUUUCUUAAGACAAAACAUCAAAAAUGUGUAUUAACUUAUUACACAUAGGUUAUUAAUUGUCAAAAUUGGGAAUACAGUUUUGUUAUACAGACAAGAAAAACACUCCCAAAACUUUGGUGUCCUUUCUGGUCCAGAAGCUACCGUUACGAUUUUUUUAUUUAUUUUAUUUUAAAACGUGAGGAUGGGACAGCGCAAGCCUGGAACAAAAAUAUCCCAUACCGGAAAAACCAAAAUUUUGUUGUCUUUUUUUUAAAUUUUUUUUAACAAACGAUGUUAGUUACGAUUAAGACGGGCUUAGUCUUACAAUAUGCUAGCAAUAAUAUAGUUUAAAUUUACCUUUUGCAAGAGUCGAACCUAACACUUUUCACUUACAAGUGACGAAUAAUACUAUUAGAUCGUAAUACUAAGUGGCGCAGUCAACAAAAUUAAGCAUAUUUUUAAAUAAAUUCUGUUAUAGUUUGCUUUGGAUGCCAACUCCCAACAAAAUUAACCAUACCGAGGACCACUGCACCACUCUGUCUGCUUUUUUUUCACACUUCCUUCCCCCUUCACGGGCCUUCCACUUCAACUGCAAUAGUUUGGUCCACCACCAAGCUUUCAAUCGUCACCACAAAACCUCAAUAGGAACCGAACAUGACUGCAACGAUAUCUCACAUCACUCACGCAUUGUUAUAAAACUUUCUUCAUCCUCAUCUUCAUCACAAACCAUCACGUUACUUUCCCUCUUUCCCGAAUUCAAAUUUGUUGUAUCAUCCCACACAAGCAGGGGAUUCUUGCAAAACUAUAUCACGUAACAAGAGAGAUACAAAAACAUCCUCGGUCGUAUGGUAGAAUUUCAACAAAUGAGAAACAGAAAUUGGAAAAUGAUCAACGCAGGUCUGCUUAAUUUCACAAAACUUUGACCAAACCAUGAACAGACAUGAAGCAACCAACACAUCUUAACUUCGAGUAGCUAAAGAGUCGUAAUCAUAACAACAAAUACAGGCAAAGGCAAAGGCAAAGGCAAAGGCGGAAGUAAUAAUUACAGAAAAGAAAACCAUCAUCCACCAACAGCAAAUGGAACAGAUCUCCACCCCAAAAGGGCAGUUAGAAAAACUUGAGCAAUGGGGAACAAAGGGGUGAAUAAAAAUUACAGCAAGGAAUUUCCCUGCAAAUCCAUGAGGGAAGAUGGUCGAGGGGCCGUUGCCCUGAGCAACUCAACUCAACUCAUCGAGAAGACACAUCGUCCAAAUCAUGGACAACCUCGGGCUGCUCAUCUAGCAAGCUAGAACGACGUAGCUCCUCAAUGCGCCUUGUAACUUCGGAGAUUGAAGGGCGUUUGUCAGGGUACUGGGCUGAACAAUCUAUUGCAAGUUGCAAGAGCUGAACCAUCUCCUCCUCGACAUUCUGGUACCUGAGGAGCUCAAGAUCGAAAACCUCUGAAGUCCACUCCUCUUUGACUAUGGACUGAACCCAUCUUGGGAGGUCAACUCCUUCCUCAUUCAAGAGGGCAUGCGUUGGGGGCUUUCCGGUGAGUAGCUCCAGGAGCAACACCCCAAAGCUAUAAACAUCGGCCUUUUGGGAUACCUUGCGAGGAUCAGUAACCUCCGGUGCCCGGUAGCCAGCAACUCGGUUGGGAGUGGAUGAGGGGCCAACAAGGUGCGCUAGGCCAAAGUCAGAAACCCGAGCUUCAUAGGACUUUGUGAGCAGGAUGUUGGAUGACUUUAUGUUUCCGUGGGAGACAGUAUGACCUUGAGAGUGUAGGUAUUCAAUUCCACGGGCAGCUCCAAGGGCAAUGCCAGACCUGAUUUCCCAAUUCAAUGGAGUCCUACCUGCUCCUUUGUUUCCUGUAGAUUAAAGAUAGAACACAAGAUGGUAAAGCUCUUCUAUAUUAUUCUACCAUUGAAAGUACGCAUUGCCUUGACAUUGCUGAAAAGAUGGAAGUUGAAAACUUAUUGAUGUCACUCUUUGAAGAAAACUCAAAUGGGAAUACUGAACCAAAGAUCUAUGAAACGGAUUUGAAAUCAUCGCAAACUUCAGAUAAUUGUUGCAUAUAUAUAUAUAUAUGAAUAUACAGAACUGUUAAAUCAGGCAAAACAAAGUACCAACACAACUGAAAUAAGCAGCAUUGUAUAAAACUCGGAUGUAUCAACGCUAACAGCGGAAACAAGCACACAAAAAUGAGUAACACGGUGUUUGUGGAGACGCAAAAUUUUGUACACCAAAUCCUCAAACACAACUCAAAGAAACCAAUAACUUCUAAUCAUCCAGAUCAAAAAUCGGAAAAGAAAGGGCGAAAAGAUUGAAGCAAACGUCCCGAACUAGAGGAACUGAUGAUGUAUCAGGAAAAAAUCAUAUCCAUCAUCAUCAAAUUUCCAGCACAGAAAUAGAGUAACAACCAUCGAACCGAAAAGGCAGAGCAAUGUGUGAACAAAUAAAGCAAGCAAUCAAAUAGCAAGAAACACUGACCAUGCAAAAGUGCAGAUAAGCUUCCCAUAGGCAUGUAAUCAUAGACAAGAAGCUUCUCAUCUCUGCUGAAAUAAUAUGCCCUCAGAGGCACCAAAUUCUCAUGAUCCUUCGCUCCCACAGCCUCAAUCUUUUCCUUAAACUCGCUCUCAGAAAUCGUCACGUCCUUCAGCCUCUUCACAGCCACCACAGUCCCAGCCUCCAGAACCGCUUUGUACGCUGUCCCAAAAGUCCCCUUCCCCAAAACCUCCGCCGAAGCUCUCAACAAGUCCUCCAGAUCAAACACCCUCGCCGCAUUGCCAAAAAAGGCCAGCUUUUUAGCACCACUAGCGCCACCGGCUUCACUUUUGCCAUUCCCCACCAUCGCCGCAGCGGCAGCAUCCGCCACCGAAUGCCCAUUUCCAUAUCCUCCAUUCUCAGACUCCACGGGCAGCUUCUCGCCAGGAAUCUCGACUUCCCGGUGCUUCACGGUGGCAAUGUCGACGGAGCUCGUCUUCUUGCUCUUCUUCUUUCGGCAGAAAAAGAUCAAAAACAUAACAAUCACGAGAAAAGCCAACACAGAUCCGAUCACAAUACCGGCAAUAGCACCACCGGAAAGCUUUCUCUUUUUGUGGUGGUCAUUGAUGUUUAUAUCCCCUCCUAUGGCAGGAUUGGCAGCUCCGCCACGGUCUCCAGGACAAGCAUUAAGGGGACGCCCGCAUAGAGAAUUACCCAGAAACGAGCUCGAAGAGUAAGACUGCAACUGUUUUGGAACAGACCCGUUUAGCAAAUUGUUGGAUACAUUGAACUGGUCGAGAUUGGGCAGCUUCAGCUCCGGGAUCGCCCCCGAAAGCUUGUUGCUUUCGAGAUACAAAGUCCUGAGCCUGGUGAGAUUGUUGAAACCCAGAGAGAUCUCACCGGAAAAAUUGUUGGAGGCCAAGUUCAGCCGGACCAAGUCGUGCAGACUGUACACAAACUCCGGGAUUUCGCCGGAGAAAAGGUUGCCCUGCAAGUAAAGGUUACGAAGAGUAACGCAGGCAGAGAGAUCUGAAGGCAGAGGACCUCUUAAAGCGUUGAGACGGAGACUGAGAGUGCGGAGACUAGUCAGAUUUCCGAAAAUGCCACUGGGGAUUAUGCCGGAGAGAGCCACGCCGGGAAGACGAAGCACCGUGACGCGGUUGUUCUCACAGCUGACGCCUGUCCACAAACAUGGGCUGGUCUGGCUCACAUCCCAUAGCAGAGUUCGGCCGCCGACGGCGGAGCGCAGGGCUAGCAGAGCGGCGCGGUCAGAAGCCAGAUCUGGUCUUGCAAUGGGGAGCAAAACCAGCAGGGAGAAGAGGAAAAGGGACAGCCUUUGGCUUGGGGAAUGCAUUUUGGUGGAAACCCAGAUGGUGUUUUUGGUGAAUUGGGUAGGGGGUUUGGAUUUCUGGGGUUUCAAAGUUCAUACAUUGUUUUGGUUUAUGGGUCUCAGAGGAGGAGAGAGAGAGAGAGAGGAGAGAGUGCUAUGGGAGCUGCAUUUCCUCUUUUCUUUUUGGCCCUUUUUGUUGGCCUUCUGGUUUCCCUUGAGGAGAGAGAAAGAAGAGAGAGAGAGAGAUAGUACAGGCUGUGAGGUGGACACUAAAAUAUGGAAAGAAAAAAGUAAAGCAGAGAGAGUGAGAAACCCUAGCUGUAUGCAGUGACAGUGAGGAAGAGGGAGGAGUGAGAAACUUUUCAUUGUUACGGGAAUACGGUAAUACAUCACGUGUUUUUACAUAAGUAGUGAAAUUUUUUAUUUUUUAAAUUAUUAAUUUUUAACACAUAAAUCUCACAAUUUAUAUAAUAACAGAUAAUAUAUCAUCUUUUGUUUCGAUUACACUGAAAAUUCUCUCGGAGGAGUGGGAACCUGGCGGGUGGUAGUCAACUGUCAUUUACUAUUUAUCCUUUGCUUUUUUGUCUUUUUCUUUUUUUUUUUACUGGAUAAUUUUUUAAUCUUUUUCUUUGUUUUUUUCUCCCCCUAUUUUGAUUUUACAUGUGUGACAGUUAGAUAGGUUUGUUUGUUUUCUGAUAUUUUGUUAUUAUUUAUUUAAGAAAUUGGCUUUUUGUGUAUUUGGAUUUUUUUUUCUAUGGUGGAUGGUAUUGAGAUCAAAUUGCCAAAUUUUCCCUUAGCUUAUCUAUAUUCCCCUUCAAUUGUUUUAACAUUGUUGCGAGUGUGACUUCAAUACUACAUGUAAUAAGAUAAUCAUAUCUACCUCAUUGUUGUAUAUAAGAAAAGAGUUAUGCUAUCCAUAUACUGAUUUUUACUUCUUAUACAUCUUUUUCAAUUUUCAGUCGUCUGAUCAAAUAAUAAAUCAAAGAAGAUCAAUGAUAAAAAAUUAACAAAAGUGUGUGAGAGAUAAAAAUUAAUACGCAAAUAGCACUUUUCAGAAGAAAACUACUACAUCAUUUUGUUUUGGUCUAUAAGGCUUCAACAAUUUGUCAUCCACCUAUAAUAUGAAGAUCAAUAUCGUGGAGCCAUUACGUUUAACAAACAAGGAGACAUCUAAAUAAGAUUGAACAAGCCCAAAUUAAGAAGAUGAGUUGGAGAUAUCCUUUAGCUACAAAUCUGGCUUUAUGUCGUGAAAUGGAUCCAUUGACAUUCUUGUUUAAUUUAAAAAAUAAAUGCCUCUUUUUAGAUAUAUCAGCCUUGGAUCUUGUCACCAUGAUAGGAUAAGAUGAUGAAUAUGUCAAAAUAAAAGUUGAUAAGGAGAUUUCAUACCAAUGUUUGCGGAAGGCAUUCUAUUAAUCAACAAGUUCGCCGUGGAACAUGCAUGGCACCAAAAUUUGAGUGCUAACAAAGUUGUAGGCAACAAGUUCAUUCUAGUUUUCAUAAGAUGACAAUGUUUGCUUUCAGUCAUCUCAUUUUGUUGUCGAGUGUAUAGCGAUAACUAGAAAUGGCAACAUAUGGGGUAGGCCUUCCUUCAUACAUCAGAAUGCACCUUAUGAAAGAGCUCACUAGCUCUAUUAGGCUAUUAGUAGAAGAAAGAAAUGGUAAACGAGACAUUUUACCAUGUAAAAUAUAUCAACUAAUAAAUAUAAUUUCUAAAAUUAUCAAAAUAAAUUCCAAUAGUCCCACUUGUUGAGUAAAAAAAUAAAGAAACGAUUCUUUCGGACUUAUGCCCGUUGUCAGUUAAAAAAAAAUUCUUUCAGGCUUAUGCCUAGUUGUCAAUAAAAAAACAAACAAAUUUGUAAUGAUUAAAAGCGUAGGCCUGGAUUUUUUUUUGGGGAUUUUGAAAUGAUAUUGUCCUUUUUUGGGGUUAGAAAAUAGAUAUAAUAUAAGUGCACUUUUAAGACCCAUAUGGCCAUUUGUAUUUUAAUCACAAUGGCCUAAUUAUUCAGUCCAUUAGCAACUUGGCACAAUUAAGCUGUUAUUAUCAGGGUGGCAUUGAACCACUUGCAAAUUCAAUUCAACAGAAAAACCAGCAUACCCACUUAGAAAUGCAAAACACUCAAUUAGUUUUCUUCUCCAAUGUCAGUAAGUGGAUAAAAUUAUCGAAUAAUGCUUGGCUACUGAAAGAAUAGCAGCAUGUCAUGUUGGACUUAAUUGAAAUAGAUACGUGCUCAUUUGUUUGGAGUGAUAUUGGUUUAAGUUUUUAAUUUUUUAAUUGCUUAGGCACGUGUCCAUUUGUGAUCGGGCACUUGUUCAUUUCAGCAGGUUUUGCUGCUUUUUUUUUCAGCAACCAAGCAUUAUUCCAAAUUAUCCUCAGUUUAUUGAUAUAACUCAUUUAUGCAUUCAUUUUAGUACCGAGUUGUAAUUUAUCUGUAAAAGAGAUGUUUUGGAUUUUCUGAUUGUUAAGCAUAAGAGUAAUAACAAAUAUGUACUCUUUUUAUUUAAAUAGGAAAGAAAUACAUUACAAAGAGAUAGACCCUUUAAGGAAAGAGAUUCUCAAUAUUAGAUGUGGGACCCAUUCUACAUGGAACUUCAAUGAUUCCAACAUUCUAUUUAGUAAGUCUCGAUUCAUAGAUCAUUUUUGCAAAAAUUUAACUCAAUUCAAAACCAAUUGCCUAUUUAAUCAUCACAAUGAAGUUUCAUUGUUUCUUAUAGAAUAAAGUGUUAGUUAAUUUCUUUGAACUCAAUUAAAUGUCUUAAAUAUUUCCGAUUUGGCUAAUAUUUUGCAAGGAUGAUUAAAGAGGUACAACUUAAAAAAUAAACUGUUUGGAUCGUUGAAAUUCAAUGUGGUGUGAGCCCCAUAACUAAUCCCCAUCUGAAAAAAAAAAUAGAAAUCAUUUUCCUUAAAAUCUCCUACAAAGAGAACCCUGAGCAACUAAAAUUACAAAAAUCUCAAAGCCAAGCUAAUUUCUUCUUAAUAUGUAAGUCCUUUUUUAUUUUUUUGGAAGAAUGGAUAAUAUAUAACCAGGGCAAAGAUGCCAAACUACAACUAAAGCCCACAACGAGGCAAUCAACCAAAACAAACUCGGAAGUGCAAGGGGAAGAAGAAACCCGACACUAAAAGGAAACAACUAGCGUCACCCCUUGCACAACCGGACACACUUAAUGUGGGCAAGGUAGUCCAUCAUUGUUUAGUACAUGAACAAGUGAAGAUGGGGAUCGUUUGACCCAAGUAAAGUCAUACAUCUCCACACAACUCCGCAACACCAAAUAGUCAGCCGCCAUAUUGGCUAAUCUUGGAAUCCAAGACCAGCAGCAGUCAUGGAAGGAAUUCCCAAUUUUCUUGCACUUCGCUAAGGUUGGAAACUCCUCCCAUCUGCCAUUUGCCAAGGAAUCAGAUUCCACAACCACAAGAUUUAGUCCCAAGGAUUGACCCACCUCACAUCCCCGCAUAAUGGCUAACGCCUUAGUAGCCGCCGCACUAGGGGCAUGAAGACGAAAUCUGCAAGCAGCAAUGAAACUACCAACAAAGUUCCUCACCACCACCCCAAUAAAACCCCCUUUCGUAGCAGUUACCCAACUAGCGUUAACAUUGAUUUUGACAUAUGGAUGGCAUGACAUUUGCCAUCUCUCCUGCAUAGGAUUACUAAGACUGCACUGCACCAUACUUCUCUGCAUCAUACUCUCUAUGGGAAUCCAGGAAGCCUUCCUGAAAUCCCUGACAUUUGUAAAAAUUGAAGCCAACACCUGAGAAUGGAUGAUAGGCUUCAGUUGGAAUAGGAAACAACACCUAGCCUUCCAAAUAUGCCAACAAGAGAACGCUACCUAAGUCAGGAUCCUUUCUCUGUCAACUUUCAAACCCUCACAGGCCCUGAUGAUAGCCAAUAUCCAUUGCGUCCAUGUGGUGAUCUCUUCCCGAUUUACCUUGUAGUUUAGGAUUCCACCAAACCAAAUAGUUUCCACCUAUGGGCAAAGGAGAAUAAGGUGUUCAAUCGUUUCCUCUUGAGUGUUGCAUAAGGGGCAGAGGGGGGAUGAGGUGGAUUUCCUGCGGUAAAGGGCUGCCAUAGUAGCCAGGGCGUUAUGCACAAUUUUCCACAUAAAACAUCUUAUUUUUUAAGGGGUUUUAAGUUGCCACACCAAUUUCCAUAACGCCACUGGGAUGGUAAGAGACGAUGACGAUCUAGAAUUUGUCUGUGGGAUCCCUCGAGAGUUCACCCAAUGGUAGCCCGACUUGAUAGAAUAAAUCCCCCGCUUAUCAAAUGGCCAUAUUAACAUGUCCCUGAGCUCGGGGUCACCAAGAUGGGUUGCCAAGAUUGCCUCAUACUCCACUCACGAUAUAAAUGGUUUUAAGAAAUCAAUAUCCCACUCACCACUUACUGGAUUAAUUAAUGAAGCCACUUUGGUGUUGUGACUUACUUUCACUGGUCCAGAAGACCAGGUGUCCACCCGGGAGGGAAGGCAACCACCUAUCACCCCAAACCUGAAUCUCCUUCCUGCACAAGACUUGCCAAUGAGUCCUCCGUAACAAAAGAUCACGCCCCCAUAAGUAGACUCGACCACCCCCAGGAUGCACGUCCGCCCUGUUUAGCAUCCAAGAAAGAACAAUGGGGGAAGUACCAAGCCUUCAGAACCUUUGCCCAAAGUGAGUCCGGUUCAUGGAUGAGCCACCAACAUUGUUUCGCCAAGAGAGCAUCAUUAAAAUCCAUGAAGGAUCGAAACCCGAGUCCCCUCAUCGCCUUGGGAAGGCCGAGAGUAUCCUUGGAGACCCAAUGAAUGUUUUUCCUCUCCUUUUCCUGUCCCCACCAAAAAUUAGAAAUCAAAGUCCAUUUCCUUGCAAAUGGUAGCAGGAAAUUUGAAAAGGUUCAUCGGGUAGGCCGGGAUAAGUCUUUUCGUACACUUUAAGCUGCAUUGGAUACUAUUAUUUGAAAAGGGCAGACUUACCAACAGUAUAAUUGUCCAUGUUGAAGAUAAUCAGCUUACUUUUUUCAAAAGCCAAAACUUGAAGUUUAUGACAAAACAAAAUGUCGAUUUGAGGUUGACGAUUUGGCAGUGGCACUGCUUUGCUCAGGUUAUAAUCUAAUAGCGACGCAUAUUGUAUUUGCCAAAAGUUAAAAUAUUCCUAAUCUUUGUGUUUUGAGUGUUUCAUUUUCUAUUUCUUAGAAAGAUUUUUAAUGUACCAAAAAUACAGCUCGGUAAUGAAAAAUUAGUUAGAAGUUUUUAAUUUUUUUUUUUUAACAAAUUGUAUUAUGACACUUAAUGUAUCAGAUCUUGUUCAACACACUGAAAAAUUUCUCAGUUGAGAUUGAGAUCAUUCCUGGGUUGUCGGAUAUUGUAAGCAAAGGGUAAAAUAAUACACUAACUAUAUUGUAAUAGUCAAGACAUAUUAUUUGGCCAAAAACAAAAUUAAAGUAUAAAAUAUUAUUUGAAAGAUGAGUGUACAAUACCAAAGUAGUACUAAUACUUGUAUAAAAACACCGUAGUACUAUCCAAAAGAAAGAAAUACAUACAUUAUAAUAAUCAAGACAUAAAUCAUGGUGGACAACUACGAACUGAAUUGAAUGGUAGUUUUUUGGUGUCGUACGAUUACACGUGAAUUAAUAAUAAUCUCAUUAAGUGGUAAUUGAAUCUUCUCAGUAAAAAGUUUCUUCAAGUAAUUAAACAUCUGAAAAAAAUAGAAAAAGAAAAAAGAAUUUGUCUAGUUGAUUGGCUAUUUCUUAAUUAACACUUGCUGGUGAUGUAAAACAGAUUAAUUAGUCCUAACACGUUUGAUUUGGUUUUGGUCACUGUGAGCCGUCGGAUGCAUUAACAUGAUUGCCGCAAGAGCCACCGACGAUUCAUACUGUUGGGGUGGUGGGAUGAAAUGUCUUACUCAGGUCCACGUUGGAAGAAUAUAUAUAUAUAUAUAUAUAUAUAUAUAUAUAUUAUAUGUUACCAAUUUUCUUAUUUUUGGGUUGAAAUAAUUAAAUUUGGAUUAAGACUACCAAUUUGCAGGUAUACAUUUCGAAUUAUAUAGUUCGAAUUAUAUAAUUAAAGUUCCCUAUUAAAAAUCUAUUACCAAAGAAUCCAUUUAUUCUUUUCAAAUGAUAUAGUUCGAACUAAAGACCUAUCAUUAUUUCACAAUUUUAAUAGAGAGAACAUAAAAUAUCCCGAUCAAUAGGAAUGUCAUGUUUACAACUUAUCAAAUAUGAUUAUUGUGCCUUUUGGCAGAAUACGUUGAUCGUUAGUCAAAUUCUAACGAACUAACAAACCACAUUCUCAAUGAAGACCUUAGAAGUCUACAAUCAACAAGCUCCCAAGCCCAAUUCAUCGCCAACAGUUCAAGUUGAUCGCCACACAACCUACGCAGGUUAUCUUAAUACGUCAUGUGCUUGCCCAUUAGUUUCUUAGCAAGGCAAGACUCUUUAAAGCAUAUUUCAGGAAUCUCAAAAGAAUAUCCAUCCAUCGGAACACUUUGCUAACAGGUUCAACGAACCUGAACGGCUAAUAGAGUCAACAAACCUGGACGUUAGGGGUUAACUCCUCAAUUCUCUAUAAAUGGCCAAGGCCAGUCACUUUCGAUAAUUAAAAACUCUCACCACUCUUAUUAUUUCCUACAAUCUUUCUGCCUUAAACAUCAGAGGCCCUUUGCCUAACACCACACCGAUGUUAAUCUAACUCCGUUCAUCUCUUUUAUUUAUGUGUGUAGGUUUUCGUCAAUAUGCGAAGUAGAAAGUUGCUCCCACAUUAAUGUCAUUUGAGAGAUUUUACUAUUAAACAAUACAAAGACUAACUGUUAGGGUUUCGUCUGAUAAUAUUUUUGUUUUUAGUUUAUAAUUUAUUUUUUUCUUUAGCAUUCGAUAAAAGAAUGCUAAGAUGUUCAAAAGAUUGUAAGGGAACUGAAUCAUUAACCCAACCAAAUGUUUUCUCAUUGUGUCACCUAUCUUAGCACUGGUUAACAACAUCCAAUCUCAAACGGUAUGAGGGAAAUUUUAUUGAUAAUGAAAAAAAGAAGUUAUAUCUAGUCAAAGGCUAGGGGCCAUAAAUCUUGGCCCUUGUAAUACAAGAAAAAAAAAAGAAAAGAAUGAAAAAAAAAAAGGGGACAUAAACCUUCCUCCUCUAAAAACGGAAAGAAAAAAAAAACUUAUACCAUUACACCAAACUUAUUAUAAUUAAGAUGAUGGUUGAUGAUUUAAAACUAUUACAAUAAUUUAGGAAAUGUGAGAGUUUUGAACUCGAAACGCAUGAGUGCAGACCUGAAUCCCUAUAUUAUAUGAGAUACUCUUAGUAGUUGGAUUGGAUACUGGCUUUAUGAAAUCGUAUUCGAAUCAUAUAUAUAUAUGGUAAUUAAAGAAUAUGAACAUUUGUUGGAAAUCUUAGUACGAGUUGUCAAUUCAUAAAUCAAUACAAAUAACAAUUGGUGGGUCUUUUUAUUUGUUUAAAUUUUUUUGUGUUGGAUCAUUAGGCAGAUAUGGAGCUGUUGAAAUCAUAUUCAAGUAGGAGAGUAGGAUCACCUGUCUAACAAACAAUUUUUAUGGAAGGUGCGGUGGGAGAAGGAUGCAUGCAGUUUAACUUGUCAUCACUAUUUUAUCUAUGGACUGCGUAUGUAUAGACACUCAAGAAACUGAGAGAAGAAAAUAAUAACAUGUUUUAGGUUAAAAUAUAUGUACGAUGGGCUUUUUAUAGAGGAUUUUACUCCACUGUAGCACGAGAGGAUUUUUUGAUCCGUCAUUAGUUCGAUGUUCCUAUUCUUAAUUUCAAAAUAUGUAUAUAUAUAUAUAUAUUGAUGUAUCGAUGCAUAGUUUUAGAUAUGUUGUUGAAUAUUCCGCUCUAUAACAAUAAAUUGAAAUACUCCUUAGGAAGCUUCUCGCAUAUAUACAUCUGCAUUGGUGUUUCAGUCUUUGAUAUGUUGUCAAAUGUCUCGCUCUAUAACAGUAAAACACGGGAUAGCCCUUAGAAAACGUAGAUGCACUUUUCUUGAAGGCAUGUAAAUAUCGAAUAAUGAAACAUUAUGAGGAGUGCCAACACAGCCAAGUUGCUAGCCUUGCAACUAAACCCGACGGCUUACAUAGGGUUUGGGCCGAGAUCUCAAACCGAAUCAUAAUCUAAAUUGAAAUAUAAUUUCGGCCGAAAAGAGGAAAACAAGAAUAAUGACACAGAAAUUAAGUAGCUGUUCGUCAUAAUUCAUGUUGCAUGCUUUCCGUGUCGGCCUGUCUCUCUCUCUCUCUCUCACAAACACAAAAACACCAACACAUCGUCAUCAUCACACAUGCAGACAGAGAGAGAGAGAGAGAGCUGCAUUGGCAUUUGAUAUCAGCUUAAAUUCCUAUCUGCUAUCUUUAAUCUGAUAGCUGAUUGGGAGGCCAUAAUAUUGAUCGAUAUGUGCAUAUCUCUUGCACGUAGCGCUGUACGUGUGCAUUUAUUCUACUGAAUUAGUUGAGGCCGUUGGUCCAAAACAAAGAAAACCGCAAUCUUUUGGUUUGAUUAGUUGGUAAAUACAUUGUCCAUACACGUACGUAUGUAAAUUUACGCCACAUGUGUAGUCAUAUAUGUACAACAGCUAGCUGCAGUUACUUUCUUGUAUGGUUAACUAUAAAUGACUCAUAUGUAAUGAACAAUGUUAGCAUCUCGAUUGGAGUUUCUUCUUUUACGUCAUUUUUAAAUCCUGCAAUGUUGUAUGAUGAUUGAACCCGUCUAUUUAUGACAACAAUCGAAUGGUUAAAUGAUUGAUGGUUUUGGUUUAUUUUUGUUGAAUUGCUCUUUAAGGGGAUGACCUAAAUGAUACAAAACAACAAUAACCAAGCUUUAUCCACUAAGUGAGAUCUGCUGCAUGAAUCCUAGAACACUACUGCGCUUGGUUUUGUACCAAGUCUUUCGUUAGCUCCAUAUAUCCAUAUGUUCUCUUAUAAUCUCUUUCCAAGUCUGCCUAAAUCUUUUAUUACCGCUUUUACCCUUAGUCUCCGUCUCAUAAUUGCAUCUUCGAACUGGAGCAUAUAUUGGUCUUUGGUUUACGUGUCCAAACCAUCUUAACCAAUUUUCUCUCAUCUUACUUUCUAUUGUGAUCACUUCUACUUUACCUCGGAUAGUUCUAAAUUUCUAAUCAUCAAACAACAUUAAAAGAGCAUAAAGAAAAACAAGAAUAUAAAAAGAGAUGUUUAAAGAGAAAAUUGCUAACACCCCCGUAAAUUAUAGGUACCUACUCUCCAUUUUACUCUCAGUGAAACUGACCCUUCUACUACUUAAUUAUAUUAGUAUCCUUGUUAAUUUUCAAAUACUAGCUAGUGCUCACUCUUGUAUUAGCAUAUUAGUAAUGUGUAGGAGGGUUAAUUACUUUGUAAGAAAAUAAAGCUCCAUUUUACUUGCAUUUCAACACUCCACAAACAAAUAUGUUUUUCUUAAUUAAUUAGUUAAGACUAAUUAGGAAUUAGAUUGUACAUUUUCACAAGAAAGUGUUAAUUACAUUAUUAAGAAGAAGACAGAAAAAAGACAGCUCAAGAUUAUUAUUCACAAGAAAAGGUAACCCCUCAAAAUAUUUUUAGAUUUAAUUGAGAAAUCAUGAGAGCAUCUGUCAAUCUACACAUUUUGGUAAUGAUCGACAACAUUUUCUGAUACCAUAUUUACUUUUGUAGCUAGCUUUUUCUGGCUUACGAUGUUCAAGGCUGUCCACCUGCACAUCUCCACUUAAUUUAUAUUCCCUUUUAUGUUACAAAGGACAUUUCAAGGAGAAAACCGAACACAAGAUCUCGGCUGUUUGAAUAAAUACUCUUAAUCACUUUAGCUACAAAUUUCUUACCAAUUAAAUUUGAUAUCUGAAGCACAGUUUGAAUUCAUAUUUCCACUCUAAUCAAGGUUUGCACAGUUGUUGGAAAACUUCGGUUAGACUAACUAAUUAGGGCAACUCUCUCACAUGAUUCGCAAUAAUCUGACUGCUUGAAGGUCUACGAGAACUGCUCUAUGAAUGAUGUGGUUUGAGUGACCUACAUAAUUGUGCGUAUCAGAUAGCAUCAAAAUACAAGAGCUCUCAUACUUUAAAAAAUUUUCCCUACAAAUGGCGUGAUCCGACAUCACACCAUUGAAGUGAUUAGUUGGUAUACAGCAAAUUAUCCCUAUCUGAUGCACACCACAAUUUGCCCUGCCUUUGCAAAAGCACAGAUCUGAUUCGUCUGCAUUUGCUUUACCAAGUGGGCCAACUUACUACUGGAUACAUAAGGGAGGAGGAUUGUCUGCCCUCCAAGUUUCGGUGCCCUUCCAUGCCCUCCUGUUUUGUGUGGUCACGGUUAAGUCACGUUAAUAUUUUAUAUUAUUUUUUUAUAAAGAUAAUAAAACAAAAAUAAAUAAUAAUAUAAAAUAUUAACGUGGUUUAACCGUGACCACACAAUCAGGAGGGCAUGGGAGGGCACGGUAACUUGGAGGGCAGACAAUCCUCCUCCAUACAUAAGACCUUUGUUUAGUUGUUUUAUUAGCAUAAAUAAUCACGUUAGCCUGCACGUUAUAUCAAAUGGAGGAAUUUGGAUCCCGGACCCUACUGUCCGUACUAGAAAAUCAGGACCCUUAGUUUGUGUGAAAGAGAGAAAUCGGAGCCUUUGGUUUGUUAUGAUGUGGACCACUGAAAUAAGUUAAUGAAGAGCGUUAAAUUUAAUUUGAAUGGUUCAGAUUAUCUGAUCGUUAAGCUCUAGACAGCAAGAUCGGGGAAGGAUCUCUGUCCCAAAAGGAAGCCCUACCAACGUGAUGAUAAAAACAUAAACCUUUGUACGGAUUAAGAGGUGUGUUGGAUCGGAAAAGAUUCGGGUCCUCCGACUAUUAUUUGUUCCUGUUGGGGAAUUGGAUAACCUGAAUUAUUGGAUAUGUUGAACUCAUGGAGUUUGGGGAGCUUCAGCUCAAAAAUAGACCUAUAAAGCUUCUUGUUGUGGAGCACCAAAGAAAACACCAGAUUGUUCAAACCUGGAGAAAUCUCGCCGGAAAAAUUGUUGUCUGCCAAGUUCAAUCGCUUCAAGUCGUGGCGAUCUAGAACGCAAACAGGAAAUGGUAAACUAAAACAUAAAGAAAACAGAAGAUCAAAAUGCCAUGAACUUGUCUGGUUGUCCAACAUCAAAGACAAGGAUGCAGCCAGACAUCCCAUGAUAACGAAAUGAACGAAAAUAUCAAAAUGCGAUAUCGAUUUAAAACAGAAACUCUAAUAAAUUCAAAGUCGGAAAAAGAUCGUCAAGAAGAAUCUGCAGUUUAACAGAAAACUAAUAAUAGGGACAGUUAAAGCCACGAUAUUUGCUUUAAAGCUCCAACAAGAUAGAAAAGUAACACAAUAUCUAUCAGAAGCAGUAAAUUUAGAAAAGAGAGGUUCCCUUCCCCUUCUUGUCUCCACCAAUCUCGAAAUGCUUGCACCUCUGCAGAAAUCAGUGACAACAAUCAACCCUUAGCAAAAAAAUAACGGGGUUAUACACAGAAACAAGCAAAUUGCACACAAAAUACACUAACCUUGAUCGGGUGCUGGGACACAUGCUUGCAACCCUGGCAUUGGAGCCUCAGAACAAUCUUCUUGGUAGUUUUUGCCUGUUUAUAAAGUUAAAUGUGAUCAUUAUUGAAAAAACGAACAAUAAGAACAGAGAAAUCAAUCUGCGGAAAUAGAAAUAUCUAGACAUUUGGUUUUCAAUUAUUCUUUAUACAUUCCCAGUAUGAAAAGGGGGCAAGAAGUCAAUCUUUACCUUCUUGUGGAACACUGGUUGGUCUGACCUCCAUAACCUGAUUGCUUACGAUCAUAACGCCUCUUUCCCUGAGCAGCAAGGCUAUCCUUUCCUUUCUUGUAUUGGGUAACCUUGUGCAAGGUGUGCUUUUUGCACUCCUUGCUCUUGCAGUAGGUCUUCUUUGUUUUCGGAACGUUCACCUACAACAUUACCACAUUUGAAAUGAUCCAUUAUAUCACACAGAAACACAAACUACAACAGGGAUUAUGCAAUCUGAAUAAACAAAAACCCAAUUACAAGACGCAGCAUAAGAAAUUACUAACCAACACCAAGAUAAUCACAAAAUAACGGUUUUACACAACGUGUGCAGAUAAACAAUAACUUCGACACAACAAUCUAAUAACCAUAUUCAAGAACCAGAACACACUUAACAAAAUCAUCCUAAAUACAAGCGAACACUUCGCACGGUUCAUUGUCAGAUGCGUAACUUUGAAGUCUAAGAGGCAUCCGUAAACUAAGGUGUGACUAAUGGAGGUGACAUUGGCGGUUGGGCACCUAAAAUAGCAAAUGGUUAUCUUCAUACUUAUUGAGUACUCGAUCACGAGCCAAAGCAGAGGUGCACCGGUUCCACAGCGGGUACCGGACCACCGUGAAAUCCCGGACACCCAUUUUCUAUUUCGGGCACUCAAUAGUCAUCCACAGGAAAACCACCUACAACUCCUAAGGAGUAAGGAAGCACAUUCAAGCAUCAAUUGUUACAGUUUUCUUCUGAGCUAAACUAAAACAAGUUUAUGCUAAUUUUUCAAUGAUUUAAAUAUGGCAUCCAUCAUACAAUCAGGGUAUAAUCUUAACAUAAAUCCCAAGUUUAACCCACAAAAUUAAAGCAAAGAACAGUAGCAAUCAUCGCAUAACCACUAAAUAUUAACAGAUUUAGAUUGGAAAAUCAAACGCAGAAGCAGUAAAUAUAUGAUUAAUAUUGUUGAGAUUUAGAGAGAGAGAGAGAGGUACCAUGGCGACGGCGGGUUCGUAAGGAGAUGACUGAGCGGUAGAGCAGAAACGGGCUCUCGGCUAAACCCUAGAAGAAGCACUUGCGGUAGGUAUUUCAUGGGUCGCCUUUUAGGGGUUUUGUCGAUUCAACUUGGGCUCGGGUCGAGGUCCAUCUGGAUCAGCCACCCUGCCCACUAUUUUGAGUAAUUUUUUCUGGAACACCGUCAUGUAGUAUUACUAUUUCAUUUAAAUAAUUAUAAAUAAUAAAAAUAAAAAUAAAAAUAAAAAUUUAUACAUAUUUUUUAGCUUUUCAUAUACCAUUCUUUAUUCGAACAAAAACAAAAGACAUGAUCAGACAAGAAUCUGAAAGGCGAAAAGAGUGUUUAUCAUUUCUCCACUAUUAUGUACAUCACAAAAACUAGAGUUGAUUAGCGUGUAGUCUCUUUGUAUUCCGAGCUCGAAUCACUCUCCUCGUAAAAACUAGAUAAUAUUCAAAAAAUUUCUCGACAAUCAAGACUGAAAUACAUUUGGACGACAGAGGAGGGACUUAGGAUUUCCUAAAAUCCAAUGUACAAUGUUGUAGGUAAAAACUACAUCAUAGUUAGCAACUUUUAAGACUUUGUAUUUCUAUCAACGUUGUUCUUUUUUGUUCUACGAGUACGAGGAGAACCAUCCUUUUGCUGUAACAAAGUGAGGUUAUCGGCCUUUCCAAUCACGGUACAAAUACACAUUACAACUAAAACAGUAAAAACUGAUGCCAUAUACGACGGAUUUGGCUUGAAUGAACCCCGUGACAAUGGUGGCCUGUCCACGCUGAGUGAUGCAAAUCCCUCUCCCGACUGCCUCUUCCUGCGAAAUGGGCAAAUGGUUAAGAAAGGCUCGUGCGUAUGCAAGAUGAGUUCAAGGAUCGAGGAACGUUUUCUCUUUCAAAUGAACGUAAGGGCAUGUUUAAGACUGAAAGUCAGAACAGUAGAAACGAACCGCGACUGAGGCAUACCCCAAUACGCCCUUUAUCGAUUCCCACAAGGAUACAGAACGUUUAGUGGCCUGGUUUGAAGCACUGGUUCUAUGCUUGCCAAAGUUCCCAUCUCGUAUCCCUGAAAUAAGCACGAAUUUUUCCUAGUCAUAAUUUAAACCUACUAUGGUGUUUCAACUUAGAUAGUGGUUUAUAAGAGUCCCGAACUAUACCAGUGCCUUUGGGAGCAGCUGAAUGGCCUUCUCUAGAUGACUUAAGUGAAGCCAGUUCUUCGACAAGGGCACGUUCCUUAUCACUGUCAUUAAAGUUACAAUAAAUUCCAACGAAGAACAGAACGGAAGGUAUUGAGAUAUCAAGCUGGAUGCCAAGUUCAACUAAUAAGUUUAAACUAGAGGAAAGAAGGAAGCAUAACAUAGUAUAAGGAUUCCAACCGGAUUAUCUUUGGGAUCAGAACAUUGACAGUAAAGUGAUCUCCUCGAGCAGAAGGUCUGUUGAUGUCUGGAACCCCCAUGCGUCGCAACUUCACUGUCUCUCCAGGUUGAAUUCCCGAAGGAAUCUGAAGCUCUUUCAAACCUUCAACAGUUUCAACCUGAAGUUAUAUCACAAUUUCUAUGUCAUACGACUUAUACCAAAUAAAAGAACAUUGAUAUUUCUAGACCUUCACUAAGUGAUAAUGGUAGGAUUACCUUUAUGACGGUCCCUAAAAUGGCCUCGGUAUAAUCAGUAUUGAUUUUUGAGUACAGAUCGAGACCGCACUAUGUAGACAUCACCAGCUUUACCCCUGCCAUAGUGCAGAUGAUAAAGAUAUUAGUGCAGGGCAUGCCUUACUAUCAAGUCUCAUACAGCGAGAGUCUUGAAAAGUACAAACAAAUCGCGCCAAUUCUAUUAAGUAUAACAUAAAAGUGCAUCUCAUUGUUACCAUAGAUGGUCAAACGCCAAACAAAUCAGCACUAGAACAUAAAAGUGCACGCCAUGGGUAGAUCAGAAAACGUUGGUAUUUAUUGGAAUUUGUUUCUGUCAUAGAGGUUGUAUGUUUUCAAACAUAUUGAAUUAACAAAGAACAGGCAUCAACAACUAGACUAAAUGAGGAAAACAGAUUUAACGCACACGUAAAUUUAAAUUGUGCAUAAACCUUUUCUUAUCAAACUUCCCCUCUUCUUGAAUUUGCAUUGUGGAUCCAUCGUUAACACCAGCUGGGAUGAUCACGUUCAUAGUUCUUUUUUACUGCACUUGUCCAUCACCACUGCAUCUUUGGCAAGGAUCAGUGAUUAUUAUACCAUCACCACCACAUUUUGAACAGGUUGAUACCUAUUAAUCAUUAAAUAUCAUCUGUGAAGCAUAUCUCUUAGAGUGUGGUCUUGAAAAAAUUAUAGGAAGACUUCUAUGGUGUCUGCAUUAUGAGGCCAAGAAACUUUUUGCGUAACUGGAGGUAAUGCAGUUUUGAUGAUUUUUAAUGUUAUAAGCAGGUCUCUUUACCUGCGAUAUCGUUCCAAAUGGUGUUUUCUGAGUUUUCAUCACCCCUCCUCUUCCUCCACAACCAGUACAUGAUUUUAUUCCUUUAUCAGAUUUAGCACCUUAGCCGACCCCACUUAGUGGGAAAAAGCUUUGUUGUUGUUGUUGUUGUAUCAGAUUUAGCACCUGUUCCACCGCAGUCAUCACAUGUCUCAACACAAGAAACUUCAAUUUCUCUCUGUACCCAGAAAAUGGAUUCUUCAAAGCUCAAACACAGAUCGCACCUGCAACAUGAAAGUUAAAAGAAAAGCCUAGAAAACAUAAUUUAUGUGCCUCCAAAACAGAUGGGGAAGAUCAUUCAACUGUAACAGUGAAACUACACGGUUACCGAAUGUCAAGACGCUGGUUUCCCCUACUGCUGAAAUUGAAGUUCAUGCCUCCUGAUUCACCCCUUCCACCAAAAAUCCCAUCUGACCCUCCAAAGAACGUAUCAAAAACGUCAAAAGGAUCCACCUACAGAAUUUUGGUGAUUCAUUAGCAUGCAGUUAAACCGGUCAUCUACUUCACUAGGAAAGCAACCAAAAAUUACUAAGAAAAAUGCACUUUCCCAUGUCUAUAUUACUGAGAAGACCAGGAAGAUCUUACCCCUGAUGAACCCAUGGUCGAGGAAUCAUAUUCUCCCUCUAAACCAGCUUCACCAAAGUGAUCAUAUAACUGGUUUGGUAUUGCUGUGCUUUGAAAAAAAACUGUUUCUGCUAUGCUGUGAGAAUAAACUCAUUUUUACUGCUUCACGUGUUCAGUUUUUUUUUCACUCAAAAUUGUGAAAAUAAGCUGUUUUUAAGUGUUUACCAAACACUUUUUUGAGCUCAGCUUUUUUUGAUACCCACUUUUUAUAAAAGCAACUCAAUAUCAAACCAGUACAAAGACCUUUUCCCGCCAUCUGAUAGGACCUACAAAAAUGAUGAAUGAAAAACGGAGCAUGGAUGCAUCAUAUGCAAUACACUCUGGAGGUUCAGAAAACAAGAGUCAAAUCAAUACAUGACGAUAAAAUGAAUGAGAAAAAAUCCCAUCUUUUACUGAAAACUGAUGCCAAAAGAAAAACAGAAAUGCGAAAAUGAAGAGAAAAAUGACAAUGCAGCAUCACUGAAGAAGAAAAACUAGAAAUCAUAAAUCGUAAUACCUCAUACGCAGCACUAAUCUCUUUGAACUUGUCCUCAGCUCCACCGCCCUUGUGCGGAUGAUACUGUUCCAAGUUCCACCAUUUCCGAUAUCAAAUUUCCAUCCGACACAAAAUGUAAUUAGAUUAUAUCAUCUAUAUAUGAGUAUCAUGGCUAAUUGCAACACAAUUGACAUCAAAAUCACCGCCUUCCGGAUGAAAAAACUAAAUCUUUCGCUAAUCGCCACUCAUUCGAACAUAUCAAGCAGCUUUGCUUACAGUGCUAAAUUGGGUUUCAACUUUCAAUGCAUCCAACUUACAAAUUUCUGAAAAAUCUUUUCUUCUGCUUCAAUUUGUAUGCAAAUAACACGCAUUGGAAAAUAAACAACAGAAAGAAGUAGCUAACCUUUUGGGCGAGCUUUCUGUAGCGGACUUGAUCUCCUGCAGCGUGGCAGUUCUGGUGACGUUAAGGGUGUUCGUCGCAGGAAUCUCCUGGCAGACGAGCACACAGCUCCCCUGGGAGAAUGGCGUCGGUUGAGGGUAUCUGUCGUACUUCUGCUUUCUUCUUGAGCUCGCUCGGGCAAGCCUUUGUCGGGCAGAUCUUGGUCGGGCAAGACACACUUCGGGCAAGGCUCGUCGGGCAGUUCUGAAAGAGAAAGACAGAGUUAAUUUGAAAGGGUGCCUUCGUGGGGCCUUAGAUGUAGGCCUUAAGGCUCACAAUCAAGAUUAACUUUGUAAUGCUCAGGCGUGCCACUGCCAUCUUCAGUAUGGCAGAUGUUGAAUGGGUGUUAAGCUUUAAUUGAAUAUGUAUACGCCCGAGAAACCAAGUUAGAUAUAAACAGGUGCCUUUGUGAGGCCUUAGGUAUAGGCCUUGAGGCUUCCUGUCAAACUAAACCAGCGCUUGGAUGUAUCAUAUUUGGCCUUUUAUGGUUGCCAGAGUUUUAUCACUAUUAUACCUUUGAUUAUCUGAAUCCAAGAGGUAGGACGAACCCAAAUGAGUGCCUUUGUAGGGCCUUAGGUAUAGGCCUUGAGGCUUCCCAUCAGAGUUAAUCCCUAUACUCGGACCAACUAGACCGCAACAUGAAAUGAAGCUAAAUAGAUGCCUUCGUGGGGCCUUAGGUGUAGGCCUUGAGGCUUUCUAUCAAAAUUCACUCCCUGCUUAAGCCUUUUCUAUGAAUCAAAAUAUAAUAGCAACGAAACGGAGAAAUAGAUCGAUUACUUGCGCCCCAAGUAACUUCGGACUUCUCGCUUAUCAAGGAUUGUCGUGGAUGGGUUGAGUCCAACAUAGAGUUCUUUUUAUGCCUUGAGGCCAAGGACUUUUAAACUGAUCUUUAAAUUACAUGCCCGCCGGGCUUAAGACUUAGAUCUGAUUUGAACUCUGACGCGAUUCAGAUCGAAUCCAAGUGCUGAAGACUCAUUUUCACUAUGACUUUGCUAGAAAUAACUUGUAUAUAAAGGGAAAUAUAUAACAUGUUAUUGUGCUUUUUAAGAAAAAGAAAGAGACAAAGACAGAGCAAAGAUAGUCGGGAAAGUUUGAACCUUAUCGGCCAAGGCUGAACUUCUUUACAAAAUCUAUCUAUGUAGCUCUGUCAGAGGUCUGAAAGCUUUUAGAGGGUUGACGGGGAGAAGAGGAUACAAAAUGAAUCGAUACCCACCAUGAACGAGGUAGCAGAGCUAUUACAGGGGUUUGGGAAGGGUUAUCCCGAAUGGGAUGAAGGCUUGUGCUGACUACAGCUUCGUUGAAGGCAAAUCUGGCUUGAGCAGAGUUUUGGCUUUUGUUUGUUUGUUUGAGUGUCCUUAAUUCUGUCUUCUCUUCCUCAUUUUAUAGACGGCUUCAGCUUGGGUUCCUGUAGCAAUGGCGGUUGCCCGAAUGCGGUUUGGUGAUGACUCACUAUCUUUUUUACAUGAAUGCCACCAAUAAAGUACUUUAUUGGGCUGUGCAGUGACUGAAUAACCUACCCCCUGUGGUCUUUGAGCAGGUAAGCAGGUGGCCUUUGUAAUUUGUGCCCAGCCGAAAGCCUCUUUCCUGCCUCCUAAGUUUUCCUCUGGGCCUUGGGUUUGGGCCGACUCUCUCUCUGGCCCAAAGUUCAGAUUUUAUCCCAAACAAAGGGUCUUAUAGUAAUCGGUCGCCGCGGCACUGGCGAUUAACCGAGCGCCGCGCUUGGGCUUGGCGCGGCGGAAAGGAGCUGAAUUGGGUUUGAAGAUCGGGUUUUUACUUCUGGUGAAGAAUGUAGAAGCGGCGGAGCUGAGGGCGGAGCUGCUCAAAGAAUAGGGCGGAAGUGGAACCGCAGAGUUGGGAUUUGGCAGGAAAUUGGAGGUGCAGUUGCUUUGGGUCAUGGGCAUACUUCGUUUUUUGAGAUUGAAAAUGGACGGUGGAGAUGGAUUAUGGAAUUGGGAGGUGUCGGGUUUUAGCAGAGGUUUUAGGGUGAAGGGAUUGGGAACUUUAAUAAAAAACAAUUAUUACUGUUUACUUUAACGAAACAUCAUAUUUUUAUAUUAAAAAAAUCAAUUAUGAUACUAUUCACUUUAUCCUUUAUUUUGUUCUUAUCAUUAAAACUUAAAAUUUUCAAAUAUUUUUUAUUAGUUUUCCUGAAAGGAUUUCGACGAAGAAGAAAGAAGAUUGUCAAACUGUCAGAAAUGAGAACGAAACAUAAGUUUGGGUCCCAACUGGUAAAUAUUUUCGGAUACGACAAACAAGAUUGAAGCAAAUGUGAGAAUAAUGAAAAGUAUAUAAAGACCGUUUUACCCUGAUGGAGCACCAAGAAUAGUAGGUGAUAAUUGACCUUCUGGUAUUCAUUUCUACGUUAAGAUAACAACUUACAUGACAUCGGGAUUUUACAAUCAUGUUGUUCAACCUACGUCAAUGCAAUCCUUGUUCCUCGGCUUAUGGCGUCAUCCUUUGUCUGAUUAAUUGAUUAAUAUAUUUCUUUUUAUGAGUUUUUAUCACAAAUGGUUCCUAAUGUAUUGUGAAGUCACCAUUUUAAUUCUUUAUGUUUCAAACUAUAUCAUUGACUUUGUAGGACCCAAAUACAUGACAUGUCAGCACGCUAACGGAAUUCUUAAAGAAAUUAGACGGCAAGGGCAACAUUGAUGAGUAAGCCAAUAAAUGGAGGACGAAAUUGAUGAGUUUUAAAUAUGAAUGACCAAACUGAUGACUUCACAAUACAUUAAGUAUCAUUUGUGAUCAAAACCCUUCUCAUUAUUUUUCAUUUUUGAGGGUGAUGGUAUUGAACUGCAAUCGUGCCAAGGGAGGAUUUCUUUUCGGUUGGACUACCCUAGUAUAGCUCCUGCAUAGUGUUACAUGUGUGAACGACAAGAUUAAUACGUCAUCAAAAUUCGUUUGUGGUCAACUUUAAUUGCUUUGUUUCUACAACAAACCGUAUCAUUUAUUAACUUUUCUAGUUCUCUUGCUCACCAAAUAUUGCCCAUCAACACCAUUUUUCCUACCAUUAUAAUUUUCAUGGUGACAAAUGCAAUUCCAUCGAUUUUCAUUCUUUGAUUAAAGCGUAAACAAGUGAUUUCCGUAACAAAAAUAAACAAAGGUAUGCAUAAGUCAUUUCCCUACGUAUAUUGACUCAGUUCGGAAAUACCCUGGCCGCAACACCAAGGCAUGGUUUGAAGAAUCGUCAUGGAAUCAGUAACACAAAUUCAUCAAAGAAAUAAUAUCGGCGAAUUCUCAAGUUCACAUUGAAAAGAAUUAAGAUCAAUUGAAUUGAAAGAAUGGAAUGUGUAAAUCUACAUGAUGUUCUGUUUCUACAUGUUCUUCUUCAACUACAUUGUACAGUAUUGCAAUCAGUCCCCGUUUGGGUGACUACUUAAGUCGAGAAGAAACAGUCGGAGGAACACAAUAUGUAGAGAUGCCCACAACUGCGAUUCAGCGAAGGCAUCCGACGUCCUCUUUCCUAAUGCGAGCUCUUAUUUCGGAAAACUACUUCUUCCUCCCUACGUACACCGCUGCGGUCCGCCAAAAUUUGAAAAGAAAAAACACCAAAGCUAAGACUGUGUGUCUAUGUACAAGUUGUAUCUUCUUCCUCUCCUUUCGGUUGGGGCUGCAUUUGUCGACAAACUAAUUUCUCCAAAGCUUCCUUCAUCCACCAAUUUUGACAUGCUUCUCUCGCUUCAGCGACUGUCAUCUGCAGAAUACGAAAUGCAUUCCAAAAUUUAGAACUACUAAUAAAUCAAUUCAGCCGACGUAACAAAAUUUAGGAGAGCAUACAAUCAAGCAAAAUGUAUCGCAAUUCCACGCACCCAUUCACGCUUGCGGGAACUUUUCUCGGGCCAAAGUUCCAACUGCUGCUGGACAAGCAAAGGGAACAUGUACCCCUCAUGAAAUGCGCCCUGGCUUUUGCUCUUGUAACGCCACAUUCCCAAUCUAGUCUGCAAGUACAUCAUCCGAACAGUCGAUGAGUAAAUGGAUUCAAUUCAACUCAAUGAAAUUAAACUAAACUACUACAGAACAGGAUUGCUUUAUUGGUAUUUUGCAGAUACUUACUUCAAGAUGGCCAAUCACACCGGCUUCCUCCAGCGUCUCUCUUUUUGCCGCCUCUUCAAUCGACUCAUCCAUUUCCCAACCUCCCUGUAAUCAAUCACAUUGUGAAUGCAUAAACGUUAAUGACAAUCGAAAAAAGAAACCAACAAACAAAAACAAAUGCUUUCUAGUUUCUGUGGUAAAAUGGGACAAAAGUAGUACCUUUGGGAACAACAUUCCUUUCCCCUUCUGUGAACUAAUCACAAGAACUUCCAAUUCCUCAUCAGAUGAAGUUUUUUCGGUUUUCCGGUAUCUGUAUGGUAUGCAUCUGCAGAAUUCCCAAAUCAACACAACAAAAAUUAGAUUACAAACAUACAAAACCCCACAUAUGACAGCAAUAAUUCAUUCAUCUAAUCUUAAAAGACCGCAACUUCACCAAAAUCCCAGUUGAGUUUUUCUUAAAUUCAAGCAUUUGAUCACAAAGACCACAACUUUCAUUCAUUUAACAAAAACCCAAUUGAGAUUUUCUAAGUUUCAAGGCUCUAAGAUUGAAGAAUUUUGAAAUAGGUCCGAAACCAAAGAUGUAAAUUUGAAGAAAACCACAACAGAGAUAUGAAACGUACCCUACAACUUGGCGGCAACCUUUUUCAUAGCGCUGGAAUUGUCUUCCGGUCCGGGAAACUAAAGAAACCAUGUUCUCAAUUUGCAUGGGGAUGAAUUCUCCACCAUUUUUCUUGGAGAAAACGGGAGAAUUAGAAGAAUUGCAAAUGUAAUUCACAAUACUUUUUGAGAGAAAGAGACCCAUCGAUUACUUCUGCAACUUUCUCUACGUGUAGAUUGAAAGGAAAAGAAUAAGAAAUACUUGGAAUAUUUCUUUUCUUCAAAAGAAAUAGAACCCACCAAUUUUAGAGGGAUAUAAAUAAAAACAAAACCAAAUUGGUUAAAUUUGGAAACUGAAAUUCUAAAAAAAGAUUGGCUUUAAUUGUGUGAGCAGAGAGAAGAAGAGAGAGAGAGAGAGGGGGGGGGGGGGUUGAGAGUUUCAGUUCAAAAGCGCUUUUGUGAUGGAAUUUGGAGUCUGAGUGAGUGAUGAACACUUGAGGAUAAGAAAGAAGUACUUCUGCGUUCUGCUUUUGUUUGUUGGAGAUAUACAUAUAUAUAUAUAUAUAAGGGCUUCUGGAAAUAAAGGCCACGGCUUGUUCGUCUCGAAACGACAACGGACGCGCAUGUGGUGGUGGCGGUUGACAAAGAAAUUGACCUUUGCGAGUGAUAUUUAUAGAUGGAAUCCUAUGUUGCUAUAUUUAUUGUAACUUGGUAAGCUUCUUUAUCCUUUUUGGUAAAUCUCUUGUUUCUUCUGUUUUCGGUUUUUGUAAUUGUUUGGUUAAUUGGAGAAGUAAUUCCAAUUGGAGAAGUGAAAGGGAUGGUAAAGAUAUAGUAAAAAGCAAAAUAACCAAACCACCAAUAACAAAAAAAAAAAAAAACUUUACUAUAAAAGCUCUUAAUUUUAUUUGUUUUCAUUAAUUUGAAAAAUUAAAAUUAAUAUGUAACGUUCGUUCCUUACGAUAAUAAAAUGAUAAGUCUAUUGGGUCGUUUUUAUUUUGUUAUUUCUCAAUGUUGACAAAAAAAAAAAUCUUGUUUUUUAUUUUUUAAACAUAUAUUUCACUGUAUUUUCAAAUAAUUUAGUCAAGUUGUAUUCACACAUCGUCUUAUUUUGUGACCAACUCUCCAAACAAUAGUGGAACCAAAGUGACGGUGAUGCAUGUCGAAAACACAUGUAUACAUUUUGCCUAACUAGGACCAGGAUCCUCUCCUGAGCUAAGGAUGAGGAUCCUCCUCAUCAAGGGAUGUGGACCGUUGGAUGAAAAUUCAACGGCUACAAUUAUUAUAACUUUAAAGGGACCCCCUGUUUGUAGCCGUUGAAUUUUCAUCCAACGACCCACACCAAUUGAUGAGGAGGAUCCUCAUCCUUAGCUCAGGAGAGGAUCCUGGUCCGCCUAACUAUGCAGCGAUUGUCAACGCGCCAAAGCGAGAGUUGGUGAUCGAGUGAGGAUGCUCGUACACAAGCACAUCAAAGCUUAAUAUUAUAUUCAGCGAUUGUCAACGCGCCAAAGCGAGAGUAGGAAGAUUUUUCAACUCUUGAUUUCUGAGGAAUUUAAAAAUGGCAUGAUUGUAGAUUAGAACAAAGAAUGUUGGGCGUGUGAAGGAGAAAGGAGGAAGGCUUUGGAUUAUCUACGAAGGUGUACGUGACGCGUUUUACACAACAGUUCAGUCGCAGUUGGUUUUAUAAAGUUAAAAAAAUGUGGGGCUGACCAUGAAACACGACCUUACACGGUUUCAAAAGAAAGGACUGAUGACUGAAGCAGUACAGUGCAGUGGAGUGCAGUCCAGCACUCGGCACUGAUAUUUUUGCCCUAAUUUUUAAGAAAGUCACUGUCGCUGCCCCUUGUUAGGGUUAGGGUUAGGUUAUAGUGAAAGGUAUUUCUCUUGUAUCAAGUUGGUAUUUGUAUAUUAAUAAUUUGCUAUUGGUGGUUGAAACUUGAAGGGAAGGAAAGUGACCUUCAGUUUGUUAAUACAUGAUUAUUAUUUAAUUUUAGGUUGGAUGUCUUAAGUUGAAUACAGUACAAAGCGGAUAAUUUAUUUAUAUACACGAUGUUUUUGUCUUUGAUCUGCCAACUAUGAGGAAGAGUGUUGAAAAUAUGAAGGCCUUGAAUCGUUUGAUCUAAGGGUGUGCGUCUCAUUAUAUGUAUAUGAGGUUUUAUGUACAUAUAUCAUUUAUUUACCAAUUAUUUUUUAAGUUGCAUGCUACAAUUUAUUUUAAUAUUGCUAAACAAAUAUUAAUGUUUUUGAAUCGCCAGAGGCCUCAUGUUGAAAUCCAUGUGCAAACAAUCUAAUUAUCAGAUCGAGCAUGCUAAGAAUCUCUGCAUGCAACGUGAUCGAUUUGAUCUCGAAGCCUCGACGGAAAUUAGUAGUAAAUUACUCAGUCUGAACGUACGUUUUCAAGCACGUUGAAAGGGUGGAUAAAUAUUCAAAAAAUAUGUCCUGCAAUUUCAGUAGUUUGAACUUUGAACACACGCACAAGAAGUUACUAUAGUUGUAUAAUGUUGAUUUAAUCUUUCAACUUUCAAAGUGCUUAAUUAAGCUGUUAACCAACCGGCCAGUACAAUUUGUAUCUGCAAAACAUGCCAAUAGACAACAAGGCAACUCCUCACUCACCCGAUGACAAACGUUGGGAGUCAAACUAGAACUAUACGCAAGUGAUUAAUAUGUGAAUAUGUUUGAAACCAAGUUUAUACAUUAACUUGGUCCUUUUGCUUUUGUUGAAUAUCUAAAAAUCAACGCAAAUUCUUGGUUAACCCUAAUCGUCAAAAAUACUGAACAUCGUCCUUUUCAUUUGGUAUCGAGUCUCACUUUCUCAAUUUUAUUUUUAUUUUUUUAUAAAUCUUUUGGUCGGUCAUGCUUUUAUGGGACUAACAUAUAAGUUAAUAAUCUCUUUAUAGAUAAACGAUUUGUACGUUUUUAAGUGUACAUCAACUAAGAGGAAAAACUUGCGAUAGGAUGCACCGACUACGUCAUUUUAUAAGAGUUCGCUUAGUAAACUAUAGUCUAUUGAUAUUUCUAUCAGAAGUGAGGUGGUGGGUAGAAGUAUUAUUAGACUAUAGUUUUGUUGGUUAAAAGAUAAUUAGUUAAUGAGAAGACUCAUAAGCCUAGUAAUAAAUCAAUCCUACCGACUAUCUUCUCACCAACAAGAUUACUUAAUCUACUCAUACUUUUGUCUGCCAUCUCGCUUAUGAUAUGUUGAGGAGCUAGCUAGAGGGAUCGCACAACUUGCAAUGGUCCACUGGCUAGUGAUGCCAUUUGUGUGCACUAGCAAGGAUUCAUAGGGCUUUAGCUAAAAGGGACAAUUAAUAUUUUCUAUCCGGUUAUUGAUUAGAUUCCUAACUUGUGCUUUAGUCAUCAAGUAAUCAAAUAAUUAGAAUAUCUAUAUACACAUGGUGAGAUCAUUUAGAGUAUAGGUGGGAUAUAUCAGGCCAGGAAAACCCUACUUUUCUCCAGAAAGAAAGGCGUGAAAGAUAUCAUAGCUAGGCUAACUAGCUAGCAUGCAUCUUCCGAGAAAUGUAAAAUGAAGACUAAUAGAAAUUUAUGUGGUUCAUGAAUCGAUGAGGAGGUUGUGAUUUCAAAUCACCAGCAAUGAUAAUGUCAAAAUUAUACCAACAUAAAGAAUAAUAAUAUGAGAAUUACAUCAAAAAGUUGUGAUAGUUUACUAGCAUGGGUUGACAAGGAAGAAGAAGACUAAAAAAGAUGGUCACGCAGCAAUUUCUGGAAAAAGAUAGGGAAUGCAACUUUUUCAAAGAGAGUUUUUAUAGGCAGGUGUGUCCAAGUUUCCAUCGUGUCUUGGUGUCAUUAUCUCUUGGUGUGUCUUGUAGAAUCAGUAGCCUUUCUCCAACAUGCUGUCCUACGCAAGGGCCACAACGCACAAGGGAUAGGCCCUUGGCUUUUGCUUGUGCGAUUGUCAUGCCUUUGUUCACCACAAAAGUAACUAUUUCUUAAUAUGAUUAUCUCAUGUCAAGAGGGCGACUUUAGAUUAUAAUCCCGUAUCAAAUCAUAUUGUUCUGACUGAUCUCUAAACUACCACCAUCUCUCGAGGCAAGAUUGUUGAGUCACAACUUCGGAGUCAACUUCUUCCGGCUAACCUCGUAACCAAUGAAAACUCUCUAUUCCUCCAACUAGGAACCCACUUGCUCCAGGACACGUGUCAGCAACACAACUAUGAAUUCAAAUCCUAAAUCGACCAAAGAAAAUAACUUAUCCCAACUAUACGCCUUUAUAAAAGAAUGUGACAUUUCAUUUUUUGCGUAGUCGUUAUUUAUUAUCCUAAACAAUAUAAAUUUGAAAUCUUAAAACAUUCUUUGCCAACUAAAGCAUCGAACUCUUUGAUUCAUACCACGUUGGUGGUGUUUGAUACUUGCUCUUGUGAGAAUGAUGAACCUUGAGCUUGACAAUGGAGGUUGUAGAAGAAGGAGAAGCAGAGAUUUGCAGAAAAGAGAAAGCACAGAAAGAAGAAGUAGAGAACAAUUAUUUCUGUAUAUUUCAUUCACUAACUGUCUGAAUCAUUACAUGAGUUUCUGUUUAUACUAGUUUCGUACACGUUAAGUAAACUCAAUUAUAACAAACUUAACAACUUAUCACCUAAUUUGACAAGUGGCAGCAUCUUGACCAUUGAUUUGAACCUGAUUUUUUAUACCUUUACAGCUGUUUCCUUCUUUAUAGAUUGUCGAAGCACCUAGUGCAAUUGUCAUUUUUGCCCUUUACGUUCUCGGCCUUUCCAUUUUCUGUGAUGAUAUGAGUUAAGCCCAUUGGUCCAGAGUAUGACUUUGUGGUUCAAGAAGGAGAACUAAUUAAAUUAUUCAUGCGUUGUUUUCCUCAUUAGGUGUUUUAGCCCAAUGGAUUACAAUGUUUAAUUGGCAAGAGGUCCAGCCCUAAUUAGAGUGGGAUCACUCUAAACCCACCAAAUGAGAACAAGUCAUCACUCAGUGCUCAAGUUAACUUAUCGCAUGUCCACCCAAUCUCUGUUUGUGUUUGUUAGAAUUCUUAAUCAAGAGCUCGUUUGAAAGUAUUUAAAAUGAUUAAAAAUGUUUUUUGGUAAAAGGGUUUUUAGGAUAUCAAAAACACUUGAAACACAUUUUAGAAGAAGUACCAGUUAUGUGUUUCUUGCAAAAAACACUUUAAUUGAUUUUCAUAGUUCACUCAUUUCUAUUAAGGAUUAGUUUCAAAAUCACUUUCAUCAAAAAACACUUUCAGUCAUUUUAAAAACACUUCCAAACACUAUAUAAUAAUAUUUCAUGCAAAUGUGGGUUUGUUAAAUUUUCUCCAAUAGUAGGUUUAAUAAAACAAUAUGAUACUUUAGUUCUCUUCAUUUACUAUCAUAUAGGUUUUGGAACCAUUUCAAUUCCCACAUGUUUUUAUAUUUACCAACACAUAUGAUUUUCAUGAAAAUCAAGAAUCAGAUUAACUAGAGUAGAGAGAGUAGUUGAUCUUAUUCCCUUUUCUUGUUUUUUUCUAUUCCUAAAUAGCCCAAUUUAUUAUCUAUCUCAUCCUUGUUAAAUAAACGAGUCAUAAGUUUUCACAAAACCUUUUCCUCAUCGUCACGUCACCAAAGGAAAAAAAAAAUUAAUUCCUUCCUUUUCAAUUGUGUUCCCUUUCAUUCCCCAUUUACAAAUUAGAGAAACAGUUUUAAUGGGAGGUUUUUGUAUAGAUUCAACGAUAAAUAUAUGGAAGUUGGCCAAUAGCCAUAUAAAGUCAGAUGGUAUUUAAGGAUUCAAAAUGACAUUGGAGGAAAAAGAAAAUUAAUGAAAAUGAGUUGAAAAUUUUGAGUUUUAACGAAAAUGACAAAAUAAAUGAUAAAAUGAAUAGUAUCAGGAUUGACCUUUUAGUAUAAAAAUAUGAUUUUUCGUUAAAAUAAACAGUAUUAAAUUUUUUUUGUUAAAAUUCCCGAAGGAAAUUAGGUAAGCUUCAGUCGUUGUUUAUUUGAGGUCGGCUGACCUAACAUUUCAACAAUUAUUUCUUCACGUCAAGUCUUUUGAUUGAGCCUAAAAUUUGCUCUCUACCUAUUUUCAAGAAGAAUACUUAUUCGCUUACAUAAAGAAAAAUACUUAUUCGCCUACUUGGGCUACAUGUAGCUUUCGCUGAAAAAUAAAAUUUUAAGUAGUUCAAAUUCGUUUUUGAUGAAAAUCGAACUGAAAAUCUCUUACUUACAAAUAAAAAAGGGAAAAUUAGGUUCCCAUCCUUCUUUUUGUUACUCCAUUGAUUAAAAUACUAUUCAUUUUCAAUUUUUGAUCAAGGUCCUUGGGUAUUAAUAACAUCAUUAAUUAUUUGAAUAAUAAAAUAUUUUUAUUUUUAAAUAUAAUCAUUUAGUGUUAAAAAUGUUACAAUUAGUAUAUUUAUAUUUAUGGCUAAAUUUUUUAUCAUAUAUUUUUAUUUUUAGUUUGUACCUAUUUUUAAUUUGCAAAUAUUUUUUAAUUAGUACCAAUUUUCUUUUCAUUUUUAAUUUGUACCCAUAUAUUAGUUUCUUUUUGUGCCCAAUUUUUUAAAAUUUUAUUUGUGUUUGUACCCAUGUGUAUACCAUCACGCGCAUUGUAUAUUUGAUCAAUGAUAGAAAAAUUACAUAUGGUAUAUUUAUGUUUUAUGCCUAAACUUUGUAUCAUAUAUUUAUAUUUUUAGUUUGUACCCACUUUUAAUUUGCAACAUUUUUUUAAAAUUUGUAGUAUUUUCUUUUUUAGUUUUAUUUUGUACCCAUGUAUUAAUUUCUUUUAGCACCUAUAUUUAAAAAAAAAUCAUUUGUACUCAUAAUUUUUUAAUCUUUUAUCUGUACCCUAAAAAUUCAUUUGUAGUAUUUUCUUUUUAGUUUUAUAAUGUACCCAUUCUUCUUUAUUAAUGUACCACUUUGUUAUAUGUGAAAUGUACCUAUUUUUUUGUAAAAUUUAACACUAUGGAUACAUUCUUUUGCCAUUUGUUAUUUCUUAUGUUUACAUAGUUUUUAUCCAUUUAUUAAAUCAAAAUGUUUGAAUUUUUUUAUUGUAACCGUUUCUAAUAGUAUUAUAAUGAGGGAUUUUAAAUUUAUAUGAUUAUAAAUCUCAUAAAAUAUCAAACAAUUAAUGUCAAAACUAUAAAAAUAUAAAUAUUAAUAGUAAUAUAAUGAGGUAUGCAAAGUCAAGGGACUUUGAUCAAACUUUGAAUAUUAUUAAAGUUUUAAUCAAAGAAUGUUAAGGAUUAGGGACCGCUUCCAAAAUAUUCCAAUAAAAAAAUCUACAUCUAGAUCAUAAUACUAAAUGGUUGCUAACGCAAUGUUGGGCAUGUUACUCAAUCCGAUGUAAUUAAUAAUCAUGCAUUUUGCAGGACGUGCACGUGUCAACAUCUUAUGUCAUUAGGGUUUUACAAUUCGAUACGAAAAGUUGAAAGAUAAUGGGCCUAUCCAUAUCUCCAGAAGAAAAUGAUGGCCCUGCAGCGUGCACAUUGAACGCGUGGCAUAAUCUGCGUGUUCACGGCGACGUAUGUCGGCUGCCCCGACCAACAAACUUAACCGCCCCAACCCACCACGUCAGAGGCCACGUAGGCCUCCACUCCCUUACGAGUUAAACUUACUGGAAUUACGGAUCACCACCUCUCCAACAUGGAAAUUAGACUUUUGCCCUCAAAUAAACGGAUAUGGCUGGUGUCAAGAGUUGGAACUGUUGAACCGUGCUUUUGAACGUUGACUUUUAGAUUAAAAAAAAGAACGUUGACUUGACUGCAUGGAUAGUUGGAAUUCGAAUUGGCUUCGACUAAAAGUCUAAAACCACGUUUUCCAGUCCGGAUAUAAUACAAACACACUAAAGAACACAUAAAAAUAUCAUCAUAGUUAUUUAUGGAAUGAAACUUGUGACUCAUUGAGUACUAUUGCACUAUUUUGAUAGACCAUUAGGGAAUUGAUUGGCGUUAUACAUCAUCUUAUGAUAUUUGAACGUAUUCAUACCUAACAUACGUUCGUAAUUUAAGUCAAUUUCACGUUUUUGAGCUGAAUAGUUGACAAGGGAAUCAAAUUUUUACUAAUCAACUUUGUGGAAUAAACGUUUUCUUUAAGUGGUGAUAGAGGAACAUAAAAAUGUAAACAUUUUUAAAUGGUGAUUGUGGUAUUCUUUUAAAAUCAUGGGGAAGGGAUGGUAAUUUUGACAAGCUAAGGACCAGUCAAAAAAUAGAAUCUCUUGCCCCCUAGAAUGUUUGGUAAACUUGUUUGGCAACAUAGAAUUUAAUAUAAAUAUUUUGACCUUUGAAAAUUCAUUGACGUUCAAAUUUUUACACCCAAAAACCUAUUCGGAAAAAAUCCCAAAAGGAAAAUAUCUGAUACGCUUUGCAGUUGCACCACGAAACGUUAUCCUGAUUGAGUGAAUGCAGAUAUCAUGGCAGAUCAUAAAUUGAUUUUGCUUCCCAUUUCGGGAAACAUCAAAUUUAGUGAAUACUAAUUAUCCCCGUCGAAUUAUGAGGAUUUAGAUUAGCAACUAAAUUAAAAAUAUUAAGAUUAGCUUGAAAUAUAUUUACAUUUAGAGAGCAAAUAGUUAAACCUGAUCUUGUACUAUGGAUGGUAGUCAAGGGAGAGAAAAUUACAUACAACUAACAGUAUAUUGUGUGGAAGGAAGUAUUUGAGUAAUUUAAGUAUUGUUAUGCAUUUUAAAUUUAUUAUAUGACAAUGUAUGAUUAAUUUAUAAAACUGUUGUAUGGUGGCAUUUUAAACAAAUCAAAUAUUGUCAUGAGUUUUUUUUUUUCCUUUUUUUACAUGACGAUGAAAGAUUAACUUGAAAUACUUCUAUCACGUGGCAUGUGCAUGGUGUGAUGAAAUACACAGGACCUAAACCCUAUGCGUCAACAAGGUCCAAUAGAGUCGACUCAAAACUAAUCCAAAAGUAGGAUAUUUUCCACCAAACUUCCUUUUCCAUCUUCCGUCCCAUCCUACGUCUCAUGCCUCCCAAUUUACUAUAUAUACCCGCACACGCAAUACCCGCAUACUCCUCAUCUGCCCCUUAGACUUUUAGAUACAUACAAAACAUAUAGAUAUACACCAAACAAAAUAGGACAAGUAUAUACUUCUGGGAGGAAGAGGAAGAAGAAGAUGGAGAACAGAAACAGCAACAACAGCAGAAAGAUGGAGGAGGGAUUUGAGGAAGUGGGGUUUCCAGUUCACAGCCAAGUGAGGAAGAUCAAGCAAGAAUCCGACAAAACCAUCGACUGGUUGCCGGGAAAUCCGGAGAUGAGAAGACCCGUCUUUAAAGAGAUCACCAGGCAGGUCUCUCGGUCUCCUCUCGGAAUUUCUUGCAGGCCGAUCUCCGUCGGCGACUCUUAAGAUUUAGGAGUAGGCGGGCUUUGAUUUCUGGGAACUGAUGGGAGGAGAUGAUGGGGGUUUUGGGGAUCUUUUUUGCAUCUUUCUGCUCUUGCUCCCCUGUUCUUGUUUUCUUUUUGGAUCUGGUACUUUUAGACGUGUUCCCUGUGUAAAUACAUCUUUGUAGUUUAUUAUAUUGUAGUUAUGCAGCUAUGCUUGCGAAAUGAUUUCUGCUCUUUUAUUUAUUUAUUUUUUUCUCUUUGCAUCUUAUUUAGUUAUGUUUGUUAAUUUUCUUUUAACGUGAUAACUAUAUCGAUCAUAAGAAAGUAAUUUUCAGUUUUUAUUUAUUUUUAAAUAAAAUAAAAAGUAAAAAGUAAAUAAAAAGUAAAAACAAAAUAAUUAUUAAACGUCCUUUUACAAAAAAUAAAAAUAAAAUGGUUAUAAACGGCUCAUUAAUGUAUUUUAAAAACUACAAUUGAGUAAGAAUAUGCAGGAAAGAAGCUGAUAUUCUUAAUUUUCGGCUCCUUUUGGAAUUUGGCCGUCUGGUUUUGAUUGAUUUCGUAUAAUAUCAAUCAGUCCUCCGUAAUAUAUUUGUUCUUCUCUUGACUGUAGAAAUCGGUUUAUCAAAGAUUUGAACCAAAAGGCCUACCAAUCAUGUUAUGUCAUGAAAAGUGAAAACCCUGACGAGAAGAACUUUAUCGUAACAUAGUGUUGUUGGGGCGGUAUCACUAUUUUAUAAACCAAUUACGCAGUCGAAAUCAAAAGUUGAGAUGAAUAAUAAUACACAAUUGGUUUGUGCUACUGUUAUGUUUGGCUUUGCACUUUGGUAAUACAUAGUUCUCUUGGUUUUUGGUAUGAAUUUAGGUUUAAGUAAAUUGUAGCUAUAAUCCUUUAACUUUAACUUAAUUGGAGCAAUAGUCUCUUAACUAAAAAUUCAUUACCAUUGGUCCAUCAACUCAUCAAAACGUAUAUCUAUGGUCCCUCAACGAAAAAUCUAUUAUCAUUGGUCUCUCAACUUUAAUUAAACUGGAGAAACGAUCCUUUAACUUUAACCCAAUUGUAGCAACGGUCCUACCAAUAUAACUUGUUUUGACAAAAUUUUUGACAUAGUUGACAAAAAUGACCAUAAUUACACACUGUGAUGAGUUGAGAAACCCUAAUUAUAUAAAUGGUUAUUUCAACAUAACUUAUUUUGACCAAAUUUUGAUGAAAUUGAUGAAAAUGACUAUAGCUAAAUAUUUUGAUAAGUUGAGGGACCAAUAGUAAAGAUUUUUAGUUGAGGGACUAUUGCUCCAAUUUAAUUAAAAUUGAGUGACCAUUACUACAAUUUACUCUUUUAGUUCUUUGUGUGAAGAGUCACGGUUGGUGUUUGUUCUAUUCCUAACCAACCAAAGUUGGUGGUAUAAAAAUAAUAUACUAUUACAUGAGUAAUCCAGAAAGACUAAUCUUUUGGCAAAUUUCGAUUGAUUGUAACUUUAAAGGUGUUAUUUAUUUAUAUAUAUUUAACUUAGUUUUAGUUGAAAAGGCAAGUUGCUGAUAUUUCUAUGUUCUAAUUGUUUAAUCGUUUCGGAUUGGAUGACCAAGGCUAAACCAGUCACAUUCAGGGCCAGGACCCUUUUUUUCCUAUAAAGUAUAAACCCCUUCAUUUAUAUUGACUUCAUAAGGAUUCGACGUGAAAAAUAGAAUGUCGGUUGUCGAUUACUUGACGUGCUCUCUUCCUUCUUUAACGGGUAUGAAAUCAGAUGCGUAAGAUAAACUUACACAAACAAAGUUACAUUGACUUAAUAAAUUAUAAAAAUGGAAUUCAAUUAUGCAAGAGUUUCUCAUGAAUAUGCAAAUUCACAUUGACAUUUUCCCCAUUCACAUUCAAAUGGAACGCACAAUGAGAAAGAUAAGGGAAAAGACAAAUAUGCCUUCGAAACAAAGCAGUGGUAGUGUAUUUAAGUACCAUUCGACUUCGGAUAGGUACAAUUUUUAAUACACACGUACAUACGGCCUACUCUUUGUAAAAGUAGCUUAAUUAUGUUAAACCCUUUCUCCACUUCUUCCUAAUUGUAUAGAGAAUAACAAACAGAAAUACAACAACUUUUCAUUAACCCCUUCCUUCUUCGUUACAUCAGCUAUUUAUCCUCUCAUUCCCAACUAACUACUAACACCCACGCACACGUGUCAUCAUUUUAUUAAGCCAUUUGGCAGCUACUAGGCCGUAACCUAUCAAAUUAGUUGGAUGAUAUUUCAUGGCAUGUUCAGUAAUUCCUUAAGUCCCUGCAUAAGUGACAUGGCCAGUAAUUUAGGAAUUCUUUUGAGACCAAAAUAUUUGAGUCUCAAAUUGUUUUGAGAGCUCCCUUACGAGUGACAUGGUCAGUAAUUCAGUAUGUCCUUACAUAAGUUUUUCUCAUUGAGGUCAAGCUAUUUCAUGGCGCAUCUAUGCAUUUCAAUAUAUUUUGAGAGCUGGUAAUGGCGUUUAGUCCUGCACUCAAGGUCUUUUGUUUCCUAAUCAAUAUAGUUUGUAUUAAAAAACUGCAUCAUUUAGGGGCUCGUUUGGUAUAUAGGAUUGGAUUAGAAUAAUUUCUCAAUUUAAAGGUAUGUUGAGCGGAGAUAUGAAAAAGAAAAAAAUUGUCCAACUAGAGGUUAGAUGAUGAAUUACUUGUGGAGAAACUUAUCUCUGUUUCCUUUUCAAAAUAGUAAGAUUAGAAUAAUGAUUGCCUUUUUUUAAUGUUUAAUCCUCUUCUAAUUGGAAUGAAAAAUCCUUUGCAGUCUGUAAAAUUCGUAUUCAUUAUUUUUGGAAACAAACAAAUUCGCUUUUGCAAAUCUCAAUAGAACCAACCAAAUCACCUUUCUCCUCCACCUCCUCGUCGCAUGAGAGCUGCUGCAGUGGUAACAGUACUGCUGCUGCAUGAUGCACCCACAUCAAUGUGUAUGUGUGCACCAUCCCUGAAUAGCUGCAAAGCCUGCAAGACUUUCUCUAUGCUAGUUUUCGUCUUACCUGCAAUUUUGGCUACUCACAUGUAUACAGAAGAUAUCAUCAUAUGUAUAUAUAUAAUACAUGUAAUCUUUUAGAAAUUUUGAGUGCAGUAGACCAAACGAACAUGGAUACACUUUUAAUACUUUUUUAUUUUGCAAGGAUCCUAUGCCCAACAUGAAUAACACACGACAAAUGCAUAUUAGACAACUUUCUUUUUCUUUCGUACGUUUUGCUGGAAGCCAAACAAAGAGACCCUUCAGGAAAGCUUAUUCAUUUUUGCUAGGAUUCUAUACCAACAUGGAACAUGCGUAUAUAAACACCUUCGUUUUUCCAUUGUUUAACUAAAAUCCAAAGCAAUAACACCUUAAGGAGAAACCAACCCUUCUCACACAACCUUCUUUUCAAUUCAUCUCACACUUCUAAUACUUUCUGGUUUGCUAGGAUUAUCUUUUACUAAACAUGCGCAUAUAGACAACAUUAUAAGGAUUUCCUUAAUGCUCACGAAAAAUAUUUCGAAAAAAUAAAAAAAUUUGCAUUUUUUACAGAAAAAGUGAAUUAACACUCAUGGUUUUCAGUAGGUUUUGCAAAUUCGUACAUAAAUUACCGUUCAAUCCAUUUAUUUUCACCUUCGCCUCACUAAAGUUUUGAAAAUUAAGGUGAGACUUUCUGUUGAGAUUCUUGAGUUUAUCCCAUUUGACAAUGUUCUGGCCUCACUACUAUAUUUUUCACUUAUUGUUUUAGUUUUCAGCUUAAAUACUCUACUAAAUAUACAUUUAUUGCUCAAUACAUCGUAAAACUGCUUCCAAAUUCCUUAAAAAGUUUAACUUAAUGCUCAGGAAAAAUAUUUUGUGAAAAUAAAAUAUUUGCAUUUUUGUCAAAAAACAUGGGUGUUAGGCGGGCUCAACGCACACAAAACGAGGCGAACUCAACUCGUGCAAAACAAGGCGAGCUCCGCUCACAAAAGACUGGGUGGGCUUCUGGCAUGCAAAAUGAAGUAAGCUCGCGCAAUGAAAACGAGGUGAGAUACGUCACACAAAUCGAGGCCAACCAUGCGCACGAAAAACGAGGUUAGCCCCUUGCACGCCCGAACAACGAGGACAAAAAAAGAUGGGCUUCUGGCACGAAAAUUAAUGCGGACACCUCAUAUGUAAAAAGAGGUGAACCUAGGCAUACAAGACAAAGCGAGCUCCACGCACACAGAACGAGGUGAACUCUCGGGUGCUCAGAAAACGAGUCGAGCUCCAUGCACGAAAAAUAUAUUUUGAAGAACAUGAAUAUGAUAGUUUGUAACUUUGUUGUAGUGGUAAAAGAAAUAAAAGAAAAAUUAACAAAAAUGUUUUGAAAUUCAAGAUUAUGAAUCAUUUUUGAACAUUUUUGUUAUUUGUUUUUAUUUCUCUUACCAUUACAACAAACUAUCAUAUUCAUGUUCUUUAACAUAUAUUUUUCUGUACAAAAAUCUAUUAUAACUCGGAUCGAUUUAAAAUCUAAAUUUAAAGAUAUUUGGGCUGUUUUUUUAGUUAAUUUUUCUUUUAUCUAAAUCCAAACUACAUACUAAUAGAACAUUUUUGUCAACCAAAAGAGGGUGAAAGAUUAUUUAAUAAAACAAAAAUUUUGCUUUUUUUUUAAGAAUCACCUAUAGGUAAUUUUAACAUCUCUAAUUUAAAAAAAAAUUAAAAAAUAUACACUAAAUAUAAAUGUUAACAUCUCUAUAUUUUUCAUUUAUUUUUUUACUUUUCAGCUUAAAUAUUAUACUAAAUAUACACUUGUUGCUCAAUAAAUUGUAAAUCCGCUUCCAAAUACCUUGUAAAGAUUUCUUUAAUGCUCACAUAAAAUAUUUCAAGAAAAUAAAUGUGGAUUAAACACUCACAAUUUUCGGUCAGUUUUUUCAAGUUCGUACAUAAAUCAACAUUCAAUAUAUUUAUUUUUACCUUCACCUAACUGUGAAGUUUUAAAAAUUAAGGUGGGAUUUUCCGUUGAGAUUCUUAAAUGUAGAACCCCAUUUGACAAUGUUAUGGGCCUCACUAGCCUUGGAAUGGGGCACGAUUUGGCUUCAUAUGGCGCCUAGGCUUCAAUUUGAUUAGGCAAAUUUUAUUGUGCUAGAAGCAGUUUUUCAAUUUUGAGGGAGGAUUAUCAGUUUGCCUAAGCCAUGAGGCUCCCAUUUGACAUGCUCUAACAAAAUAGAAAAGAGUCUUGAUCUUGCUUUUUAUUUGUGUAACUACAACUUGCCAAAAAAACUAGAAAGAGUUAUUUUUAUUAAAGAAGAUCAAACGUUUGCAUUAACUAGUGACCUACAAGAUCAAAAGUUGUACCUCAUAAGAUAAUCCCACUUAUUGAUAUCUCAUGUGGGAUUUGAUGACAUACUAGUCUUUUCCUUAUUUCUAGCAAAGUAUAUAUAAUAUAUACCUGCCAAAUUGAAAGAGCUUGCUACUGAAAACGAUGAGAUAAGCUCCUCUGUUUGCAAUCCAAUUUGAUUCUUUCAUGUAAUUGUGCAAAACCCUAGUUCCAUAUAUACUCGAUAUGAUUCUUACAUUGUAUUAAAGAUACAUAAAAUGAUAAACACAACCACUCGCACACUCUAAUUUAAUUUUAACAGUUGAUUUUGUUAGAUUUAUUCAAUUGAUAAUACACAGACAACAUAAAUUGGGUGACAUGAAACACAUGUGACCAUUAGAUGUGCAACUUGGGUCGAGUCAACCCAAAUCCGCCGGUGCCUAACUCGAUUUCAAACCCGAUCAAGUGAGUAAGAACGAAAAAACCCUGCCCAAACCUGACCCGACUUCAACCCGAUCAUUUUUUGGGUUGGUUCGAUGUCUUUCUUACCCAUGUUAACCUAAACCCUACCAGAUUUUGUGCUCGAAUUCACUCAUGCACAAAUUAACGAUUCCACUUCAUAUUAUAUAAGUUAUGUAUGAGUUUUGUAAUUGAAGUUUAUUGUCGGUUUUAUAUGGAUAAUAAAUGAUAAUGUUACUUUUACAUUUCUUUUGGUUGAAGCUUUGAUAUACGUCUUGUAAUUUAAUUGAUUAAAAACGUUAGAAAUAGUCUCCAAGAUGUUUUCUAUAACUUUUGUGUGGAUGGUGAUGUGCACAUGAAAUUUUAACUAAUAUUAACGUUGUUUGGUUUAAAAUUUGAAAAAUCAUGCAAAAUAAAGUGUUAUAAGAUUGAACUCAAUAAAAUUGGGCAAAACCGAACCCAACUAGAAUAAACCCUAACCAUACUAAACCCGCAUGGAGUCAAACCCAACCAAAACCCGAAUUGUGAAGGUUGGGUUGACCAUCCAACAUGUCCAACUCGUCUGAGUUGCACCCCUAAUGGUCGUCACUUCACACGUAGGCCAACCUCACUCUAAUAUUAUAAAGAAAGUUGAGGUUCCACUAUAAAACCAAUUGACAAUAUAGAAAAUAGCUAAACUCAUUGUAAGCUCUAGCAAUGUUUAAAUCCAUCACUUAUAUGAGACUUUGUCGUUCACGUUCUUAUAUUAGAAACACAUUAAAGAUAAUCAGCACAACGCGUUUGCAAUUCAAUCACAUUUUUUUUUUUAAUCAAAUGGAAUUAAUAGCUUUUUUUAAUUGUUAAAAGCGCAUUUAGCCUAUCAAAAGCAGUCCCAAACAUGGCUUUGACCAAUAGUCUUUGAUAUGCUUUUAACAAAAGGACUUCUAAGAAAACGCUUAUGAUUUAAAGUAUUUUCUAUCAUGAUUUCUAACAGAGGAUAUGACACAGAACCGAAUAUAAUGACGUUCUAAGAUUCAUAUAGAAAAAUGUUUUGUUGUUGUUGAUUCUUAAAGUGCCCAUUCCAUUUUGCGCCUUGUUGCUAUUGGGUCAUGGAAAUGAGAUUGGAUGUAGACCAGUACACAUAUGUUUGGGUCAAGUGAAUAAAACGGGGGAGGCCCGGGAGUGACCUGCACACAAAGGGAACGGUGGUGGGCCUGGCGGCCGGAGUGGUUCGUGGUGAGCACGCAAAUACUUGGAGACGAGUCAGAGGACUAUAUACAAGUGGCAGUAAAUGAAGGGUCAGGUCAGAGUCUGCGAUUUCGGUGACGAACUACCCUCGCUGCCUUCCCCUUUCCUGUUUCCUUAUCCCCCAAGUCACACCCUCACUAUAAAACCACUCUCUCUCCUCUCCCCCUCUCUCAUCCCGUUUCUUCUCCGGGUCGGUUUGUGUCGUCUCCGAGACAAACCCAUCUGAAAAAUAUCCACCUGCUUAGGGACCCGCCGCACAACACCAACGCACACACAGAGGGAAGAAUAUUUUCAAUUUUUCUGUUGUUGUUGUUUUUCACUUGAAAUCCCAGAAAUAAAAUCUAGAAAGAGGGAGACUCACCGGAAGUGCGGGAAAUUUUCUCUCUGCUUCUUAUCAUCUGGGUGGGACAAAUCCGAUCAGGUAAUUACUUGAUUAAUUUAUUUUGGUUUCUCUUUUUAUUUUUUUUUGGACUUCGAAUCGGAUUUUUAGUUGUUUCGAUUAGGGUUUCUGUUUUUCUUGUUGGGUUUUCAGAAAUUGCUGGAAAGUUUUGAGCUUGAUUUGAAUUAUAUUUGAAUGUUUUUUUUCUUGUUGGGAUGUCACAAAAUGUUGGAAAGUUUUGAGCUUGAUUGGAAUCAAAUAUGAAUUCGUUUUAGUUUAGUGAACCCAUGAAUGUUUAGUGUUUUGUUUGUUGAAAUUUGUUAAUUAAUUUAACUCCAAAUUGAAUUCAUUGAUUGCAGUUACAGGUUGGUUUUCUGGGCGUGGAUUUCUUUGAGGAGUUAUUUUGUUCUGAUUCGAUCUCCUAUUUCGGCACACUGUCGGAGAAUAGGAGGUCUGAUAGCCUGGAGGUUUCGCAGAAUAUGAGUUUUCGUGUCCAAAAUGAGCGAAGGGAUAGGUCCAGGUUUCCUGCUCAGCCUGCUACUCAGCCUACUCAGCCUGCUCGUCGAGAGUGGGUGCUGAGAGGUACCGACCCUACCACUACCACUGCUGCUGUUAACCCGCCACCAAGAGUCUACCCGAACAACCCGAAUGUCAAUGCCAACCAGCCUAAUCCAAGAUUCAAUCCAAACAACCCGAACGGCAAUGUUAGCCAGCCUAAUCCAAGAUUUAAUCCAAGCAACCUGAAUGGCAAUCUCAGCCAGCCUAAUCCAAGAUUCAAUCCUAACAACCUGAAUGGGAAUGCUGGCCUGCCUAAUCAUAGCUCUGUUCCACCAUCAGAGAUUCGGCCACACAGAGGAGGAAAUAAUGGCGUUAUUAAAGGCCAUAUGGGCCAGUCAGUGAACCAUAGAAGGGAGAGGGGAAGGAGUGAGAAUCAGGAGGAAAAGGGAUUGAAGGACUCGAAUUUGCCCCAGCUUGUGCAAGAAAUUCAGGAUAAGCUGACAAGGGGCACUGUCGAGUGCAUGAUUUGUUAUGAAAUGGUGAGGAGGUCUGCACCUGUUUGGUCCUGCUCAAGCUGUUACUCAAUUUUCCAUCUGAAUUGCAUCAAGAAAUGGGCUCGAGCUCCCACUUCUAUUGACAUGUCUGCGGAGAAGAAUCAGGGGUUUAAUUGGCGGUGUCCUGGAUGUCAGUCUGUCCAGCUCACAUCUUCAAAGGAGAUUCGAUAUGUUUGCUUUUGUGGCAAGAGGACAGACCCGCCUUCAGAUUUGUAUUUGACACCGCAUUCGUGUGGUGAGCCUUGCGGGAAGCAACUCGAGAGGGAGGUCCCAGGCAAUGGUGUGAGUAAGGAGGAUCUUUGCCCUCACAUUUGUGUCUUGCAGUGCCACCCAGGUCCAUGCCCUCCGUGUAAAGCAUUUGCCCCACCACGUUUAUGCCCUUGUGGAAAGAAAACAAUCACAACGAGAUGUUCUGACCGGGCAUCUGUUCUGACUUGUGGUCAGGAUUGUAAUAAGCUGCUUGAUUGUUGGCGUCAUCGCUGCGAGCGGACUUGCCAUGUGGGUCCUUGUGAUCCUUGUCAGGUUCUGGUUGAUGCUUCCUGCUUUUGCAAGAAAAAGGUGGAGGUUGUUCUCUGUGGAGACAUGACUGUUAAGGGAGAGGUGAAAGCAGAAGAUGGUGUUUUUUCAUGUAGUUCCACCUGUGGAAAAAUGCUUAGCUGCGGUAAUCAUUCCUGCAGUGAGGUUUGCCAUCCAGGGCCGUGCGGAGAUUGCAAUUUAAUGCCAACUAGGAUUAAGACAUGCCACUGUGGGAAGACAAGCUUGCAAGAGGAACGACGGAGUUGUUUGGAUCCGAUUCCAACCUGUUCUCAAUUAUGUAGCAAGUCCCUCCCUUGUGAGAUGCACCAGUGUCAAGAGGUGUGCCAUACUGGGGAUUGCCCACCUUGUUUGGUUGAAGUGACCCAAAAAUGUCGUUGUGGGUCAACUUCUCGGACUGCGGAAUGCUUUAAAACCACAAUGGAGAAUGAGAAAUUCACUUGUGAUAAGCCUUGUGGGCGGAAGAAGAAUUGUGGAAGGCACAGGUGCAGCGAGAGGUGCUGUCCUCUUUCUAAUUUGAAUAAUGCUCUCUUGGGGAAUUGGGAUCCUCACUUUUGCUCUAUGUCCUGUGGGAAGAAGUUAAGGUGCGGUCAGCAUUCUUGCGAAUCGCUUUGUCACAGCGGCCACUGCCCUCCCUGCCUUGAUACAAUCUUCACGGACUUGACCUGUGCAUGUGGGAGGACUUCAAUCCCUCCUCCACUGCCAUGCGGUACCCCUCCCCCAUCAUGUCAGCUCCCGUGUUCAGUCCCUCAGCCUUGUGGGCAUACAUCCUCUCACAGCUGCCACUUUGGAGACUGUCCACCAUGUGCGGUGCCUGUGGCAAAGGAGUGCAUUGGUGGGCAUGUGGUCCUCAGGAACAUUCCUUGUGGGUCGAGGGACAUCAAAUGUAACAAGCUCUGUGGGAAGACAAGGCAGUGUGGUAUGCAUGCUUGUGGCAGGACUUGUCACCCGCCUCCCUGUGAUACAUCUUGUUUGGCAGAACAAGGUUCAAAAACUUCUUGUGGACAGAUAUGUGGUGCUCCUAGGAGAGAUUGCAGGCAUACAUGUACUUCACUUUGUCACCCUUAUGCUUCUUGUCCUGAUAGCAGCUGUGAUUUUCCUGUCACAAUCACUUGUUCUUGUGGCCGGAUGACAGCUAGUGUUCCUUGUGAUUCCGGUGGAAGCAAUGCUAGUUUCAAGGCCGAUACUGUUUAUGAAGCUUCCAUUGUUCAAAGGUUGCCAGCACCACUGCAACCAAUUGAAUCAACCAGCAAGAAUAUCCCGCUCGGACAGAGGAAGCUUAUGUGUGAUGAUGAAUGUGCUAAGAUGGAGCGGAAACGGGUUCUUGCAGAUGCUUUUGAUAUAACUCCUCCAAACUUGGAUGCGCUCCAUUUUGGUGAGAGUUCUGCUGUUUCUGAGUUGCUUUCAGACCUUCUUAGACGCGAUCCCAAGUGGGUAUUAUCUGUGGAGGAGAGAUGCAAGUACUUGGUGCUCGGCAAGAGUAGAGGUGCUACAAGUGGUCUCAAGGUUCAUGUUUUCUGCCCGAUGCUGAAGGAGAAGAGGGAUGUAGUUCGGAUGAUCGCUGAAAGAUGGAAGCUUGCAGUUCAAGCCGCUGGCUGGGAGCCCAAGCGAUUUAUUGUGGUUCAUGUUACACCUAAAUCCAAAGCCCCCGCUCGGAUACUUGGGGUUAAGGGCACAACAACAGUGAGUGCACCCAAGCCUCCGUCUUAUGAUCAUUUAGUGGACAUGGAUCCCAGGCUUGUAGUUUCAUUCCCAGAUCUCCCUAGAGAUGCAGAUAUAAGUGCACUUGUAUUGAGGUUUGGUGGGGAGUGUGAGUUAGUCUGGUUGAACGAUAAGAAUGCACUAGCCGUAUUCAACGACCCUGCUCGAGCAGCAACUGCAAUGAGGAGGUUGGAUAAUGGUGCACUAUAUCAUGGCGCUAUUGUUGUUCACUCCAAUGGCAGUGCAUCUAUGGCGGCAUCAGGUUCUAAUGCUUGGGGUGGAUUGGGGACAUCUAGGGAAGGAGGAGCUUCUGCAGUGCUGAUGGGUAAUCCGUGGAAGAAGACUGUUACACGAGAGUCCGGUUGGAGGGAAGAUUCAUGGGGCGAGGAAGAGUGGCCUGGCAGUUCUACAGAUGCGCCGGCAAACGUGUGGAAUAAAAAAGCACCAAUUGCUGCCUCAGUAAAUCGAUGGAGUGUACUGGACGGUGACACGGCAUUGGGCUCAUCCGCUUCAUCUCUCAGAGUUGAGGACUAUAGAAAACUGUCUUUGGGUCCAUUGAAUUCGGCCUUGGACUCGAAAGCGAGUGGUUCGAGUUCGAGUUCCACUUUUGAAGGGCAGCCUGUUGGAGUUAUUGCAGAAACACCUGAAGUGGUUGAUGACUGGGAGAAGGCUUAUGAAUAAAGAUAGAAUGGAGAAACAGAUGAAAAAAAGUUUAGGACCGACGGCUUUGCGGGAUUUGUAGUAGUUUUAGUAGAUGUUCUGCCUUUUGUUUUCUUUUGUUUUGCAUUUGGGGGUGAUUAAAUUUUGUAGCCCAAAGAAAUGUUAGUUAGCUCCACGUUUUUGUAUGAGUGACUUUUUGGAUCAAAUGGAAACCAUUUUUCAUUUUAAAGUUGUCUUGGUGGGCUGCUCGUUGUUGCAUUUUUGUUUUAGAGAUGGUUUGUGAAAGUGGAUGACAUACAUCUAAUCCAAGACUUCUCAUUCUUUCUCGUCAUGUAACAAAACAUUUUCAGUUUUGGAUCUAACAAUGAAUGAAGAUUGAUACCAUUUAAAUAAAAAAUUUGGGAAGUGAUGCUACGAUCAUGUUAUUUGUGAGACAUCUCUUGCCAUAAGAUCCUACAUAGGGUGAGAACUGCACUAAUAAGGUUGUCCUAUCGAAGUUUAUCUUUGCACAAAGGCAGAUGAAUUCUAAUAUAUAACUGAGAUAUAUCACAUUUUCAGUUUUGGGUUUAACAAUGAAUGAAGAUUGAUACCAUUUAAAUAAAAAAUUUGGGGAGUGAUGCUACGACCAUAUUUGUGAGACACCUCUCGCCAUAAGAUCCUACAUAGGGUGAAAACUGCAAUAAUAAAGUUGUCCUAGCGAAGUUUAUCUUCGCACAAAGAUAGAUGGAUUCUAAUAUAUAAUUGAGAUACAUCUCUUCAAAUCCCUCGCUGGUCCUACGUAGUAUGAAAAACUGUCUUAUUGAACUUUUUUUUGUUGAUAAAAAGAUUCUAGCAUAUGACUGGAUAUAUAUUUGCUCUCUAUCUCUCACUUCAGAUGGCUCCGUAACUCCCAAGUUCCUUUCACACCGCACCAAUAGGCAUAUUUUUAUAUUUGAUGUUGACCGUUUGAUUGGUUGUGGUUUCGAACCUUCGAGAGUCAAGAAACAGAUGAACAACCAAAGUUGGACAAACUACAAGUCCACUCCAAAUAAACAACAGAAGAUACGAACAGGCGAAACUCCAAAUAAACAACAGACGAUACAAACAGGCGAAAUCAAUCACACAAAACGAACAUGUCACAUGUGGGAGGUUCCUCCCUCCUACCCCAAACCCACCUCCCAAACGGAAAGGCAUGUGAGAUGUGGAUGUGUAUGUGAUUUUCUCUAAUAUUAAUAUCUCGACACGGGGUAUUACGUUUUUUUUCUAUUCGUAGGUAGGACUUAAGAUCGACUAUCAGAUAAUGAGUAGGUACUUAAUUUAAUAUGACCGGUCUAUUAUGCAGCUUAGAUCAUAUCUCCUAUUGAUUCGUUCUAAUGAAAAAAUAUAUGACUGAUUAAAAUUUUCGAAUAAAUUAUUCAUUAAAAAUCAUAGGCGUCACUGUCAAACCGGCAUUCCAUCUCAACUACCGGUGUAUAUAAAUAUGAAAUAUUAUCAUCCCCUCAUUACGAUGUAAGUUGUAACAUCACUCUCUCUCUCUCUCCCCCUCCCUCUCUCUCUCUCUCUGUGUGUAAAUUGGAGGUUUAAAUUCUGUAUUGUGAACUCCGUGUGUGAAGCAUUGUGUAAGUCGCUUGGCAGUUGGCAUUCUCUCUCUCUCUAGUUUCUUAUAUAUAAAAUCUGCACAAUAACGUUUGUUUAGUAUCCAUCGCUUUAACUUUUUGUUUUCAAUCUGUCUUUUGAUCUCAGACGUCCAUGGAACCUCAGCUCAUUGCUCCUAACCAGUUCAAGGUAACUUUUUAGCUAAAAAACUUGUAUGUAAUUUUUUUUUUACUUGAUUUUAUUGGAAAAAGUUGUCUGGUUUGUACUAAAUGGCUUUAUGAACUAGCUGAAGCAUUGAGCCAUGAUCUCACUCUACCAUCUCCGUUUCGGGUUGUUGUACUCACUUGACUUGCAUUGAUCUGAUAUUUCUGUUGCUAGUAUUUUUUUAAUCCGUUACCAUGAAAUUGAAAAAAGAAAAAAUAGCCAAGAUCCAAACUUUCAAUGUUAUCUACAGAAUACUGCUUAAGACUGUGUUCUCGUGCAUUUACUGUCCGAAUCGGAGUUUUUUUUUUAUCAACGGAGAUGCGGAUUCAAAGUUUCGAACUUAGGACAAUUUUCAAUAGGCUAGAAUCCGUUACUUGAACGAAACUAGAUCUUGUGAAAUCAAAUUGAAUAGAGAAGAGAAGUAUCACUAGACAGUGGUUAAUAUCUGUCUAGAUUUGAUCGAUUGGAUCUACUUACACUAUGUUUGGAUGAAGACAUUUAAGAUUACUAACAAAUUUUAAAUGAUGGUAAUUGAAAUGAUGAGAAUUUAUUUUCUAGAAUUUGUGAAUUUUCUUGUUUGGUUAACCUAAAAGAAUAAUGGAAUUGAAUACGGACAUUGUUAUUUUUAAACUCUCAAUCAUAGAAAUUGGGAAAUAACGCAUAUUUACAUAGAAUUUAAACUUGGUAAUUGGAGGUUCCAAAUUCCAAGUUUUUUUUCACGCGAAAAUUCUAAAUUUCUAUGUUUAUGAAUCCAAACAAAGGAAUUGGUGCAUGUAAAUUUAUAAAUUCUGACUUUUAUCCAAAUUCCAAGUUUAUUUCCCUCAUCCAAACAUAGUGUUACAGUUCCCAUUCUGAUUUUGCGAUCAGUAUACAUCACCUAAAUUUUGAGUUGAUAAUAUGCAGGAGACAUGGAAACACACACUUCUGUUGUCAUUUCAGAGCCUUGGAGUAAUAUAUGGUCAAAUGAGUACUGCUCCCUUAUACGUCUUCGGGACAUUGACUGCAGAUGAUAUCACAUCAGAGGAGACCGUUUAUGAACUAUUCUCCUUCAUUUUCUGGACUAUUAACAUCAUUUCUUUACUCAAGUAUGCAUUUAUAGUAUUAACAGCUGAUGACAAUGGAGAAGGUAAUGUUCUAGUUUCGUCACAAGUGCAAGAAUUUAUUUUCGAGGAUUUCCCAUUAGAUUAACUUUUUACUUUGACUCUGUUGUAGGUGGUACUUUUGCUUUGUAUUCACUUCUGUGUAGGCAUGCCAAAGUUGGUUUGCUUCCAAAUGAAAGUAGUGCUAAUGACGUUAUGCAUUAUGAGACGGGAAGUCCUUUCAAGAUAAAGGCAGAAUCAAGGGCUCGAAGAGCCAUAGAAAAGCUUAGAUGUGGCCAUUAUUUGAUGCUGUUCCUGGCUCUUUUCGGUUCCUGCAUGACAAUUGGCAUUGGGGUGCUUACCCCAACUCUUUCUGGUUUGGCAUUCCUCAUUUUUUUUUAAUUAUAAAUUAUACUGGAAAUUUAUAAAAAAGUUUACUUUCUGCAUCGAAUUUAUGCCAAAUUUGAUCAUAUGUACAGUUAAUAUCAUUUUAUAGAUUAAAUGAUUUGUUCUGUUCUUUUUCUUAACCAGUCUAUUCAGUUUCAUCUGGAAUUCAAAGAUCAUUGUCGGAUAUUUCACACAGAAGUAAGAGCUGCCUGUAAAUUCAGUUACAGAUAUAUAUAUUUCUUUCAACCAUCCUUUAAUCGCCAUAUAGCCAGCCACUACUCUGACACAAAUGUAUCUCGUGGCUCUUAAUUUCUAACCAGUUUCAGCGUCGGAAAAACAAAGGGAGGCCAUAUCUAGAGCUUUAGAGAAAUGUGAGUAUUCUGUCAUCAAGUAGAUACAUCCAUUGACUUUGUUCCACUUUCUUGCUUGUGUUGUUUCGUAGUCAGUGACCUAAAGAAGGUUGAAUACUUUUCCCAUGAUAACUAACAUCACACCUGGAAAUUAACAUAUAGACAGUAAAUAACACAUUUCUGAGCCAGUCAAUCGUGCUAGCUAAAGUUUAUCCACUUCCCACGGCAUCUUCUAUACUGGUCACGAUUUGGAUAUCCUAUUUGUUUCAGAUGUCCCGGUUUCCACUGCAUCUGCUAUAUUGGUGUGCCUCUUCACACUACAGCACUACGGGACUCGUAAAAUUGGGUUUAUUUUUGCUCCAAUUAUCGUCGUUUGGCUGUUCUUUAUUGGUGGAGGGGGUGUAUAUAACAUUUUCCACUGGAACAAAGAAAUUCUCCUUGCUACCUCCCCCAUGUACAUGUACAGAUUUUCAGGAAUAUUCACAGCAAAAGUUGGAGGUCAUUAGGCAGCAUUGCUUUAUGUGUAGCAGGUUUUAUUCUAUUCCGCUUCAGCCAUAUAUUCCCAUGAGCUUCAUAUAAUGCUUUUGUUUUAUUUUGGAAUCAUAUGUUUUCACUAGACCUAGUUUUUCAUCCAGAAAUACUGUUCACUUUUGCAGGAUCGGAAGCAAUGUUUACAUCUCUAGGUCAUUUCAGAAGGAAAUCAAUCAAGGUUUUUGAUACAUCUCAUAUUUUUUCAAUCAUAUCUAAAAGUGUAGUUGGCAAUUGAAAUGAACUUACGGACGGUGUGUCGUGCUGCAGAUGACAUUUGUAUGCUUCAUAUAUCCAGUCCUUGUUUUAAGCUACGCCGGUCAGGCUGCAUAUAUCUCCAAAAACUUGGAUGUUAGAGAUUUCAAUCAUCUCAGUCAAUCCAUACCUAGUAAGUUGUAUGAUUUUUUUAUUUACUUGUUUUGUCUGCAAUUUUUGAGAUUUCUAACAUGUGGAAUGGAUUGUGUAUGAAAAUUCCAGAACAAAUGCGCCACUGGUUUGUAGCAUUUUCCCUUCUUGCUUCUGUUGUGGGAAGCCAGGCAACCAUAACAGCAUGUUUCUCCAUUAUAAAUCAGUGCCUGGCACUUGGUUGUUUUCCGAGAGUAAAAGUUAUUCAUACAUCAGAUAAGAUACACGGGCAGGUCUACAUUCCUGAUAUCAACUGGCUAUUGAUGGUUCUAAGCCUCGUUGUUACGAUUGGUUUCCAUGAUAUUAUCAAAAUUGGUAGCGCGACAGGUAUUUAUUUCCCAACUAGCUAUCUUCUUGUACUAUAGUUAACUAGUACAAAAAUUCCUGACAUGUUUUAUGUCGGAUAAAUAUCAACAAUCAACGAUAAAUUUAUAUAUGCUAAUAAAUAAUAAUUGUGAAUAAAUAAUUUAACAUAGAAUGAACAAAAUGAAAUAAUAUUAGGCAGACGAAUUGAAGAUCGAGGCUUGCGUACCGUAAUGUCCUUGAAACAGAAAUUUCAUCCCUACUCAGUGCUUGUAGUUCUACAGACGUGUGCUUCACCAGAUUCAACGAUCUAAGUCAAAAUUCUAGUACCAGAAAACUUGACUUCUGGCGAAUUUCUUUGUGGUUCUCUCAGUAAGAAUGUUUGGGAUUGUAGAAGAAGAAUUUUAUUUUUCUGUGUUCUAAAUGUCAUGUAGAUAGAUGUAUAUAUAAUAGGUUUAUGCCUGUUCGCAAUAGGUAUGAGAAUGUGAUGCUUCUCUUCAGAUGGGUGUUUUGUUCUCUAACGUUCUUUCAUCACUUCAAACUUCAUCUGAAAGAUGAGUCUGUUGAUAUAAAAAAUAAUUAAUUAAUCAAAUCCAAAAUUAAUUAAAAAAUUUAAUUAUUAGAGCCUGACCCCCAAGGCCCAUGGCCCUUCUUUUGAUAAUUAAUUAUUAAUUAGUACACCCAAAGUCUAAUCCUAAGAUUGAGCCCAAUUUUAUUCUUUUUGGUCCAUUACUCUAAUCACUUUUUAUAAGGAACAAAACUUUAUAAAGUGAAGACACCUUUUGGUAAUAACUAAUGUGAGACAAUGAAAUUUCUACUCAAAAUUUCCAACAUUUUAUUCUCCCCAGAAAUGCUUGUAACAACAAUUGGUUGUCUAAUCGAUGUUAGCUAAAUCUUCCACAGGUUUGGCUGUAAGUUCUGGAAUGCUUGUAACGACUUGUCUCAUGUCACUAGUAAUUGCGCUAUAUUGGGAGAAAAGUUUGUUUGAGUCGGUCUGCUGUCUAAUAUUCUUUGGAUCCAUCGAGGUGAUGUAUGUAUCGGCUUGUAUGUUGAAUUUUCACAAGGGAGCUUGGUAUUUGGUUGUCCUUUUGGCAAUGUCCCUGACUAUCAUGCUUUCAUGGCAUUACGGAACCAAGAAGAAGCUCGAAUUUGAUAUACAAAACAAGGUCUCUGCAGAAUGGCUUAUAGGCAUUAGCCCGGGCCUCGGAGUUACUAGGGUGCCCGGGAUUGGUUUCAUUUAUUCUGAUAUAGUGACAGGAAUUCCAGCUUUCUUCUCACACUUCAUUACCAAUCUUCCAGCGUUUCACCAAGUUUUGAUUUUCGUGUCCUUCAAGUCUCUGCCAAUGCCUUAUGUCCCUCCAAGUCGGAGGUAUCUUGUUGGCAGGGUUGGCCCGAGGAAUUUUAAGAUAUAUCGCUGUGUUGUGAGAUAUGGAUAUUGUGAUCCUAUUAGGGACACUGAUAAUUUUGAAGAACAGAUUAUUAGUUCGAUUGGUGAAUUCAUUUGCAUGGAAGAAAAUGAUUUUGAUUUCCAAAAUUCAUCCGAAGGAAGAAUGGUGGUUAUUGGAAACCCACCAGCUGAUGGAACCGGAAGUGCUUUGAUUCCCUUGAAUGAUACAAAUUCAUAUGAGAUGGAGUGCGUAAGUAUGGCGAGCAACGAAACUCGGUCUCCAUUAGGUGAUGCAAUCGAGAGUGGUUUUACGCCGGUGAUGAGAAAAAAAGUCCGGUUCAUGUUGCCUCCGAAUAGUCCGCAAAUGCACGUAUCUGUGAGGGAGGAGCUGCAAGAACUGAUUGAUGCUAGGGAGAGUGGGACUGCAUACUUCUUAGGGCAGGUGCAUUUAGCAGUGCGUGACGGAUCAGACAUUCUAAAGCGAUUGCUGAUCAUGACUUAUGUGUUUCUUGAUAAAAAUUGCAGAGAGCCUCCAGUUGCACUCAAUAUUCCUCAUGCUGCUCUUGUUGAGGUUGGCAUGGUCUGUUGCAUAUGAAUUGUAUUGCCAGACGCCGUGCGGGCAGGGGAUCGAGCAACGAGUUGUACAGAGAGCGAGAGGAGAAAAAGAGGACAGAAUCUGCGAUCGGAGGAGAUAUAAGAACUGCUAGUUUAAGUUUCUACCUUGUACUACAAGAUGUCAGGAGUAAAAUCUAUACUGCAUAUAUGAACAAGUAUUUGUGGCCAGGAGUAAUGCUACGUGCAUGCCUAGCAUAUCCUUUAAGCGGUGGAUCGGGAAGAGAUCCUUUCCGGUCUCUCCCACCAAAGUUAAAGUCCACUCAUCUGAAUUUUGAAAUUUAAUCCAACGGCUAUAAGGAAUCUCUUAAAAAAUUAUAAUAAUUUUAACUGUUAAACAAAAUUUUAAGGAUCCGGAUGAGUGAACUUGGUGGCUUUGGUGGGAGAGAUCCAGGGAUGAUCUCUUCCCCGGUGGAUCACAUUCACCUGUUAAAUUAUUUCUCUUGAAGCAUUCAACGCAAUUGAUCACUGACAUUUUUACUUUCUGUAUAAGACCAAGUUAUUUAAUACCAAAUUAGAAUAGCUAAAAACCCAACAGGAUCCUCUUCGGAUCAUUUUUACGAUAAUUCUGAAGAUCUGUAAAUUGUGUUCGUUUAUCGUACAUUGUGUGAUUAGUUUUUGUCAAAUAUUGUUUAUGUUUAUUUUUGAAUAAAAAUAUUUAAAAUAAUUUCUAGCCGCAUGAUAUACGAUAAACAAAUAAGAUUCACAGAUCUCUGAAAUCCUCACAAAGAGGAUCCGGACUAGAACACUUCCAAAGUAAUAAAAAGGAAGAAAAAAUUUAUCCUUUACGAGACUUUGCCUGUCGUGUCAUCCUCUACAUAAUUAAUUGAUUCAAAUUUACUGCCAAAUAUUUUUGGUAAUAAAAAUUUGACAAUUAUUUUAAAACAAAACGGUGAACUCAUUGAACGAUCCACGAAUUUGUUUUCAUAACUUUUUAUUAUUGAUAAAAAAAAAAUUGAUUGAAAUUUACAGCCAAACAUUUUUGGUAAUAAGAAUUUGACAAUUAUUUCAGAACAAAAACGGUGAACUCAUUGAGCGAUCCACGAAUUUGUUUUCAUAGUUUUUUAUUAUUUUAUUAACAAUAAAAUUAAGUAAGUUGAGGUUUCACUAUAAUAUAUCAUAAGUAAUAUGAGGAACAAUAUGAUGGAUGAUUAAACUCACUAUAAUAAAAAAUAUAUAUAUUUUAAAAGGUUUAAAUUUCCAUUAGAAAAAUUCAAAUAGAUCCAUGCAGGGUGAGAUAUAGUUGCCCCAAAUAAAUAUGAACAAUGACAAUACAGAAAAGAUAUACAGGAAUUUGAAAUUUGGAAUCCUCGCCAUAAACUCAUGCAUGCCUAUUGUCAUUGUGGCUAUAUUGGCCAGGUGAAUAAUAUGAUAGAUGAUUAAUACAAAUUACUAGUGUAUUAAUACAAAUGAAAGCCAUAUUAAUUAUAUAUUACACUAUUAGUUAUGAAUGGGGGUCCUCCUUCUAGCUGGGGUGUAAUCCAUGACCAGGAACUCCAAAUCUUGUCCAGUUAUGAGAUUUUUCUCUCGUUUUGUUUUGAAUGAAUCUGGAUGAAUGGUCUUGGCGGCUUCGUCUUGAAUAAGAUCUGCACUUUUUUCGUCGACCCCUAUAACUCCUGAUGAUGCGUUGCGUGAAAGUUAACAAGGAAAAUAUUAUCAUAUCAUAUUAAUUAAAGAAAAAGAGAAUUUACCAUAAUCUAAUUAAGUAUAAGGAAAGUAAAACUAGAAUUUGAUGAGAGUAAAAUGAACAUAUGUCUACCAUCAACAACGACGAUUGAGAUGAUGAAGAUCAAAACCACGAACGCAAAAACGCGCUUGUUUAGCCCUAACACCACCAUUGCAACUGUUUGAAAAUCUAGGAAAUUAUUUGAAAUUGAAAAUGUGUUUAUAAGUUCUUGGCAAAUAUUAAGGUAUGUUUCUGCAGCUUGUGUACCUUCCUCUUCCGCUGACUUAAUGAGUUUGCUUCCUAUGUGUGUGAAGGUCGUGACUCUAAUUGGAUAUAUAUGUGAAUAUGGGGGCAGCUGGAUGAUGGAGUGUAAGUUAACGUAGGCAUAAGCAAAGCCAGAGGUUUUGAGCAUAUGAUGUCAAAUUAUAAUAUCAACUUCAGUCAAAUCUUCGUACGGACAUAAUUGUCCCAACAGUAACGUACUAUUGAUUUUUUUCUUCUCAUACAUGUAUAGCUAGUUUUCUUGAAUAAUAAUAUUGAUGACAUAAUGUGCUUGCCAUAUACAAUUUUUUUUGUCAAAGCUUGCCCAUUACAUAGUAUAGUAAAAUCUUGUUGUUCCCUUAUGUUGUACUUUUAUGUGUAAGUAGAAGCGAAUUUUAACAAACUACGUAGUAAAUAUCAACAUCAUAGGCGAACACGAAGAAUUAAACAAUCUCAAAAUAAAAACACAAGAGAUUUACAUGUUCAGCGUAAAAUCUAUGUUAUGGGUGAAUCACGGCGAAGAAUUUCAUUAAAUUAACAAAUGAAGAUUACAAAGAAGUGUUUAACUCUCACAAUCAAAAUCUCACAAAUUACAAUGCCUAAACCAAACAAAUAGAGAACCCAAAACAAACGAAGUAGUCUCCCCCCAAAUUAUUCUAUAAUUCCCAAACUCAUAAAUUGAUUCUCACCAAAUUGGCAUUCAGGAGACUGGUUCAGUGUUGACCAGUUUAGCAGAUUCAGACUUACUAUUCAUUUUUUUCUCAACGAAGAGCAUUGCGACGGAUAUACACAUGGGCUUCUUCCAACUAGGGAACACUAACAGGAUCCUUGCGCAAGAUUUCACCUCGAAUUUUUUCAAAUUCGGAUUCGAGGCCAGCCAAAAAAAUAUGCAUUCUCUGGCGUUCAAUCGAUUGUCUGUACGCGCGCUUUCACAUAAUCUUCAUCCUUCAUAGUCACCUUGUCACGGCAGUUCGCAUGUUCUUCAAUUAUUAUUAUUUUUUUCUGUUUUUUUUCAAACCUAGCUCAUGAUGUCAAGUUAGAAUUCGUAAAUGCUUUAAUACUAUUCUUCUCACUAUGAGGAAAUAUAUAUAGUUGUAACCCUAAUCACAAUUAAUCUAAGAAUUCUAUUAAGAAAAGGAAUCCUCAAUAUAAUCAAUUAUAAUAAUCACAUUCCUAUUCUACUAUAUUCUAACAAAAUAGAAUUCCAAAACGAAAUAGGUAAUACAAACCAAAUUUUCGCAUCAUUCUAAUUUUGAGCUGUAAAACAACACUUUAUAUUUCUGCUUUUGGUGGCUUCUGGUCACCAGCUGUAUGGUAUAUAUGCGUAUAACUAAAACUUUGAAGCCUUAAUUAGUUACUUACGUACCUGUACUUACGUGCUUCAUAUACAUAUUUUCUCCCAUGCAUUAUAGCCAGGAUUAAUUUGAGAUAUUAUACGUAAAUAGUAGAGGAGGGCGAUAAGCCAGCAUGUACAUAUAUAUGCAGGUGGUUGCAGUUGAUCGAUCGAAUUAUUUGUGAACGAACAUAUGCAUAAAUAGACGAUAAUCAUUCAGUUUAUUAUUAGAUUAAGAACUAGUUGGCAUUAGACCAAAAACCAGUUGGUAUAUGCUGAUCAACUUUCGAAUGCUUAUCCUAUCAAUAGCAAGAAAAUUUAAAAAUUAUUUGAGGAAAAUUAAUCACAAGUUUCUGAUAAAUUGGCACUUGGCACAAAUAAUUGGGAGGCAUGGUGGCGCCAUAUCAGCUGAGCUGUAUGUAUAUGAUCCAUGAAGGAUACAGCCAUGUCAGAGAGAGAGAGAGAGAGAGAGAGAGAGAGAGAGAGAGAGGAUGGGGUGCAUCAGUUGUGCUCCAACCACAUGGUCUCCAUCAGGAGCAUCACGUGAAGUACUUAUAUAUUUCCUUACCGUGUCCAUGAUUUGGCUCCUUAACAAGUACUCCUAAUAGUUAACCUAAUGAAGGGUCGCACGCGGCAAGCACAUGGGGCCUUGUUGCAAGGCGAAAUUAUUUGAGGGAGUUUUCACGAAACACUUUUGGUAUUGUUUAAUUUUAACGAAAAAUCACAUUUUUACAUUCUAAAGUUUUUUUUUUUUUUAACUUUUCGUUAGUUUUUCUAUUUUUUUAAGGGUGAGCUAGCAUUCUUUUAUCUGUAUAAAGUGACUUGUUUUGUUUUAGGAGUUGUUAGAGUAUAGAGUAAUUUUUAGUUCAAUGGCAUGAGUUAAUUUUCGUUAAGUGGAUGAAUUUCAUUAGAAUAUAGCACCAAAAAAUUAUUUACUAGAAUAUUUCACUAGAUUGGAGCCCACUCUAGCUUAAGGUGGCUACGCCCUUAUUUUGUUUGUAACUGAGCUAUCUCUGUUAAAAAAUGUGUUAAAAAGUGAGUCAAUUUUGUGCGUUUAAAUAUCACUGUUGAGUUGAUAAUUUCGAUUUCAACAUUUAUAUUUUUCAACAAAAUAAACUAGAACAUAAAGUCUAUCUUUAAUGAUUAGUCAAUAGUCAUGCAUGUUAGAGCAUCUCCUAUAAAUAUAGCUCUUAAAAUAUAAGUUUGUUGACGUACUUGCAGUUCUACCAAAUUUAUCGAUCUAGAUUUUUAAAAUUUGAUCAAACAAUUAAAACAUGAGUCUUCUUAAAAAAUUAUAAUAAUUUUAACCGUUUGAUCAUAUUUUAAGGACUUGAAUUGGUAGAUUUGGUGGAAGGGAUCCGGAUCCCUUUCCCUUGCAGUCAAGAGCUACCAACUAAACUUCUAUCUAGAUAUAGGGUAUAGCCUUAGCCUACCCAUCAUCGUCUUAUGUCUAGUCAUUUAGUCACAAUCAUCCCCAUUUUUUUGGGGUUAGUUUUCAGCUUGUCAAUGCACAUUGAAUCGAUCAAAUUAAACCUUCCAACAUGGAAGCGGCAUAACUGCAGAAACGCACAUGUAUAUGUUGUUUAUUGGCACUAUCUGUGUGUUUGUAGAUAAGAUUUGGAUUGCAAAUGGCCCGCCAUGCAGCGACGUCGACACAUUAAUAUAUCAGACUAUGGAAUAUUAAUAUGAAGAUUAGUUAACCCUCGUGAAUAAAUUAAUUUACAUCUGACUAACAGAGAUCGACCUGGAUUAAUCUCUUCAACAAAUACAUGGGCUUGGUUUGAGCGACAUUGGGCUUCUUAUUAAGCUUCUUUCACAGAAGGAUACACCUGUAGUAGCUAGGCCAGUCUAAUGUUCGUGGGAAGUCGCUGAGCAAGAACAUUUGCGUUUGGAAGCUUCUCCCACCCCUUUAUCAGUUAAAGCGGAGCAAUGCAUGUGUUUGAUUUAGGGUUCACACACACUGUUCAUUUACACUCAUCUUCUCGUUUUCACGCCUUGAUUCUCCAUUUUUUGUUUUACUCGUUGCCGAAGUACGAAAACAAUAUGAAGAAGUACUGCCAAUUUAUAAAUGUCGCUCUUUUUUAUUUAUAAUUUUAUAGUGUUCAUAAAUUAAAUUUUAUGAAAAUAUUGUAAGUUUUAAUUCUCAAUAUGGUAAGUAUCUUAUAUAAGAAAAUAUUUUGUAAAGAUUUUUGGGUACACAUGUGUUUGCAUAUUUUCUUAGACUUUUUUUUAGGGGUGUGCUAUCCACACACCAUUUUUUACUUCUCACACACCCCUUGUUAAUUUAUGUCCGUUGAUCUUCUUUAUUUCAUCCGAUCUGAUGGCCGAAAAUUAGAAGGGUGUGUGAGAAGUAAAAAGGGGUGUGUGGAUAUCAUACCCCUUUUUUUAUUAGCACCCCACAUAAUGUUGAAUACACUUCACAUUAAAAUUUAAUUUAAAUGACUUAUGCACCCUACUAUGCAAUGACAAUUUCGACCUUAUAAGUUAAAAAAAAAUCUAAAUACAUCCCAAAUUACUUUUAACGUAUUAUUUAGCUUAUUCAACUAUCAAAACACUCUCACCUCCAUUGUAGGACAAAAACCCUAACCAAUGAAACUACAAACACGUUGACUGAAACACAAGAUCGACGUUUCAGAAGCUUCACAUGAAGUAAGACUUCAUAUUUCAUUAUUUUAGUGAUUUCAACGACAUCGAUAUUUAUUUAAGCCUAGUUUUGCUUCCCAAAAUACCUGUGUUAUUAAAGCUAUAAGUGGUAGUUUUCUGUUCCCUUCUAUUGUCGCCAUUUUACGAUGCUCCACCUCCUCGGUGGAUCACCAUUACUUGACUUUGAAAUGGUCUUCCUUGGCUUUGAGAUGGCCAUUAUUUUAAGACCACAGAAAUGAAAAUAUGUCUAAAUUUUGGAAACCACACUUUGGAAAUGUAUGGAAUUGCAAUAGGUACUAACUACUAACCAAUUGAAAUGGUCUUUCUUGGCUCUGAGAUGAUCAUCUUAGUUGCUCAGAGAGGGUUUUGAGCUUGUCAAUAGGUACUAACUACUAACUAAUUCAUGUUGCAAAAUUUUGUUGCAUACUGAUAGUGAAAAAAUGUAUAACUUCUGUAAUGAGUUCAUGUUGAUAAAUGUUGAGACACUCAAUAAAUUAGAGCGUUCCCCGGAGAGGCUAAUGCUUGUCUAAGUAUUUUGAAAUUGUUGUCGGUGUAGGAUUGCUCGAAGAACUCAAAGAAAAUGUGUACAAUGUAUAUAGAAAAUGUGGGGUGUAUGUAAAAAAUAUAAGGUGUAUGUUAAGAUUAUGGGGUGCGAGGGUAUUAUGGAGAAUUAUGUGGGGUGUUUUAAAAUAAUUUUUAAAUGAAAAAGUAAUUGUGGGGUGUUAAUAUAACAAGCCAUUUUCUUAUGUGCCACUAAUUCAUUACAAUAUAUUUAGGGUAAAUUACAUAGUAGCCCCUCAGGUUUGAGCUCUAUUACAAUCGCAUACAACAUCUUUAAAACAUUUCACUUUCAUACCUCAUGUUCUAUUUUAUUUCAAAAUAAUACCUCUGUCACAUUUUCCAUCCAUUGAUCCGUUAAGUGCUGACGUGGCUGACACAUUUGUGCCAUGUGGCUGCCAAAUGUGUGCCACGUGGCAAAAUUUUUUUUUUUUUAAAAAAACCUUAAUCUUCUAAAUUAAAAAAAAAAAAACCAAAAUACUUGAUUAUCCCCUCCUCCCCCCACCCCCCCCCCCGGCCCCACGCUCCCUGCAAAACGCAUAUCCCAUUAUCCCCCCCCCCCACGCUCCCUGCAAAACCCAUAUCCCAUUAUCCCCCCAACCUAUUAUUCCCCAGAUCCAAUUAUCCACCCCCAUCCCAUAAGACCCUCGUACCUGCAACGCAUCCCAUUUCCUCGCAACCCCCCUCCCCGGAUCUUCAUCUUCUUCCGCAACCCAGAAAGAAAAAAUAAAACCCCUUUCAGUUCGUCUUCUCCCCCCUCUCUUCUUCCCCUGACCCCUAUCUGCAACCUAGAAAAAAAUAAAAAAAUAAAAACCCAGAUCUCGACCGCCAUCGUCGGGUUCGUGAGGUGAAAAUAGGAGAAAUGAGUGUGGAUUUAAGGAGUGGGUGUGUGAGAGGAGGGAAGAGGGUGGGAUGGGGGCUUAUGGGAUCUGGGUUGUGGGUUCCAGGUACGAGGGGCUUAUGGGAUUUGGGUUCGCGCGGGCGCGGGGAUGGGGUGGUUGGGGGUGGAUAAGGGGAUCUGGGGAAUAAUGGGUUGAGGGGAUAAUGGGAUAUGGGUUUCGCAGGGGGGGGAUAAUCAAGUUUUUUGGUUUUUUUUUUUUUUUUUACCUUCUUCCAAGGUUCAGGGUUGGGGGGAUUCGCAUGGUUCAGGGGUUAGGGGAUAAUGGGUUUCAAGUUUUCUGGGUUUUUUUUUUUUUUUUUUUUAAAUUUAGAAGAUUAAGGUUUUUUUUUUAAAAAAAAUUUUAAAAAAUAAAAAUUGCCACGUGGCACAAAUGUGUCAGCCACGUCAGCACUUAACGGAUCAAUGGAUGGAAAAUGUGACGGAGGUAUUAUUUUGAAAUAAAAUAGAACGUGAGGUAUGAAAGUGAAAUGUUUUAAAGAUGUUGUAUGCGAUUGUAAUAGAGCUCAAACCUGAGGGGCUACUAUGUAAUUUACCCAUAUAUUUAGGUACGAACAUUUCGGUACACUAGGUUAGUAUAAUAUGUUUAGGUACGGAUAUUUCGGUACACUAGUUUAUCAUAAUAAAUUUAGGUACCAACAUUUCGGUACACUAGUUUAGUAUCAUAUAUUUAGAUACGGAUUUUUUCGGUACACUUAUGUUUUUGCAUAUUUUCUUAUGUGCCAAUAAUUCACUACAAUAUAUUUAGGUAUGGACAUUUCGGUACACUAAUUUAGUAAAAUAUAUUAUGAUACGAACGUUUAGCUACACUAAUUAGAGGAAGUAAAAUAAAUAUAAUGAAUUAAAAUGUGUAUAAUAAUAAAUAAUUUUAAUUUUAAUUAAUGACAUUAAAUAAAAUAUCUAUUAAAUAUUAAAAAAAUAAUAUAAAUUUGAAUUAAGGGUAAAUUACAUAGUAGCCCCUCAGGUUUGAGGUCUAUUACAAUCCCAUACAACAACUUUUAAACAUUUCACUUUCAUAUCUCACGUACUAUUUUAUUUCAAAAUAAUACAUCUGUUACAUUUUCCAUCCAUUGAUCCAUUAAGCGCUGACAUGGCUGUCGCGUGGCAAAAAAAUAUUUUUUAUACAUUAAAAUAUUAUAAUAUUAACCCUAUUAAAAUAAAAAAUUAAAAAAAACAGAAAAACCCAAACCCAGAAAUGAUUCCCCGCAACCCCAUAUCCCACCCCUACCCAUCUCUUCCUUCCCUUCCGUCCAUGCCCUCCACCCCCUACCCAUCUCUUCCUUCCCAUUAGAGUUGAAUAAAAAGCUCAACUCGUUUUGAGCCUCUCUUACCAAUAUCACAAAUAAAACGAGUAAAAUAAACCCUAGAACCCUAAUCAAAUCAAUUCCAAACUCUUAUAUGAAAUUUUGAGGGAAUGCAAACACCAAUUCAAUCACCAAUCGAGACCGAAAUGCACAAACUUAAACAAAUCCAAUUACAGAGAGAGAGAGAGAGAGAGAGAGAGAGAGAGAGUUGAACCUUGCAUUGGCCGUCGUCGCCGCCGCGCUUGCUUCGUUCUCCUGAGAUGAUGACGUCAUGAUGGUGUCGGUUGGGAUGUUCCGGUCACCGGACGGCGACGGGGCCGGGGCGAUCUCCAUGAGUUGGGUCGGAUCAGGUAAAGGGUGGGUCGGAGUCUAUGUUGGGUAUUGCCGAUCGGUCCUCGGUGGGGGUGGGGUAGUUGGAGAAAGGGUCUGAUAACAUGACGGAAAGGGAUUGGUGGUGUGUGAUGUUGUGCGCUUCGGUGAGGGUCGUGAGGAGUGUGAAUGUGAGGAGGAAGGCGUCGACGGAGCUACAUUGUGUGGGUUUUGGAUCUGGGAUUUUGGGGGGUUUGGGGUUUGAGAGAGAGAGAGUGAGGAGAGUGGAGAGUGAAGGAGGGUCGGGGGAAUGGGUUGCUGGGUUUUAGCUUUUUUUUUUUUUUUUUUUUUUUUUUUUUAAGGGUUAAUAUUAUAAUAUUUUUAAUGUAUAAAAGAUUAUUUUUUUUUGUCACGUGGUAGUCACAUCAGCACAAAUGUGGCAGCCACGUCAACGUUUAACGGAUCAAUGGAUGGAAAAUGUAACGAAUGUAUUAUUUUGAAAUAAAAUAGUACUUGAGGUAUAAAAGUGAAAUGUUUUAAAGUUGUUGUAUGAGGUUGUAAUAGACCUCAAACAUGAGGGGCUACUAUGUAAUUUACUCUUGAAUUAAGUACACAUCCGAGGACUAAAAUCAAUAUCCAAUCUAACACCAGGUUUUUAUUGAAUUUUAAUCUUCUAAGAAUUAAAAUUCAAAAACCCUUUAAAAUGUGGAGUAUGAAGAUUAUUAACAUUACGACAAACCAUAUGUAUGUUGGAAAAGUUAAGUAGUUAGCCUUUUGGUUUAUUAUAAUUUAAGGGUAAUAUUGUAUGUUGCGUCUUAGCGUUUUCUUGUAGGUUAAGUAUUUAGAUCCCUUGCCUUUUAGAAUUAGGGUAAUUUUUUUUAUAAAUAGGAUGUUUUGUAAUUUAGUUAGACGUAAGUCAUAUAAGAUGUAAUAUCUUUGAGUUAUAUGUAGCAUUUUUGGCAAUUCUAUAGCGUUUCUUUGUUUUUAGUUAGUAAAUUAACAAUCGUAGUUUUGUAUCUGAUUAUCCGUCUGUAUUACUCUACUUUUCACUAUAUAUAUAAUGUGACAUGCCCUUGACCUAGUUUAUUAAAUUCUCGCAAUUAUAACAGUGUACAAUCAAGAAUCUUCCUUUGUUAUAUUGGUACUAAUUGUAAUUGUUGAAAAAUGUAAAAGGUUUGGUGGAUGAUUUGUCUGGGUACGUACGUAUAUAGUCAGAUAAUCUAUGAUACCAAAUAUAUCAGAGCCUUGAAGAGUCAUUUUCGUAUGAGUGGAUAAACAGUAGUGGAAACAUUCUCUUCUCAAAUAAAUUUGGCAAGCAACGAUAAAAGAAAACACCCAUUAUGCAUGAACAGUUAGGAAUUUGGAUGUAUUGCUUGAAAAAAGUGAUACAGAUUGACUAGUAAAAAAGGAAAGUGAUCUAUAUAUAAAGGCGGAGAAUAUUACAGUCUGGAUGAAUAUGAAGAAAAUGCACUAACUAGGUCCCCAUUGCUCGGGAAACUCCUUGAUGUGUUACUUUCUUUCAUGUAUAAAGACAGAAAAAGAGAGAAGAGGGAGAUAGAGAAAAGGCCAAAAAAAACCAGAGAUUGAUACCUUUCAUGCAUUCGAAUCAUCAGUUUUAUAAUAUAUAUGCAUACAUGAGUCAUUCCAUUUGGUGAAUUCCAAAAAAUGAGAGCGUCUCUGUACUCUGCGCUACUCUUUAUACGUGAGCAGAAAUGGUAAGGAAUGAUGUAAUGGUCAAACAUUAAUUAGGGUUAGGGCAGAGAGGCUGUCUGACUCUAAUAGCUAUAUAGUUAAUUAGCUAGUAUUUACAGUUGCAGGGUUGGAACUUUCGGAAGAUUAUAAUAUGGAAGAUGAUUUGAGUAGUUCUAGUCAAAAGGAGAAGGAAAAAGAAGCAAAUAUUGAAGAUCAUGAGAUUCUCAAAAAGAAAAUCUCUACUCAUCCUUUAUAUGGUUUGUUGGUUGAAAAUCACUUGGACUGCUUGAAGGUUCUCUCUCUCUCUCUCUCUCUCUCUCUCCACUCCCCCCCCCCCGGUGCUCCUCCGGCCGUAUGUUUGUGUGUAAAUUGAUAUGUUCAUUGGAGUGAAGGCUUUAGGGCAUCCAUCCUAGCUCCUGCAUAAAGAACACUUUCUGAUUAACUACUUAUUAAUUAGAUAAUACUUCUUGUUUAUAUUCUUUUCAAAUUUUCAGGUUAGUGGAAUCAACGGUGAACUAGAGGAAAAUGAUGGCUGCAGAGAUAUAAAACAGCUUGACUACAACUGCAAAGCAAAUUUAGGCGUGCUUGGACAUUCUGACCUCGAUCACUUCAUGGUGCGUAAUUAAGAUCGAACCCUGAAGGCUAUUAUUUCACAUUCAUUAAUAAUAACCCAAAACCCUUGUCCCUUUUAUGCAUUAUGUUAAAAAACUAAUCAAUUAAUUAACUAAUGCAUGCACAGCAAGGCCUCGCUAUUGGUAUCUCAGAUUGGAUUGGAAUGGAUAUAUAAACUACUAAAUUGACAGUAGUUAAAAGGGAGAAAUGGAAAUGUUGUGUACAACUAGAAGGUGAAAGAUGAAUUACAAAUGAAAGAAACUUAUCCAUUCCAAUCCCCCUUAAAAUGGUAGGAGUAGAAGAAUGAGUUUCUUACAUGUCUAACGCUUUCCAAAUGAAAUAUCAUUCACUUCUCUCUUAGUUGUAUUUGAAAUCUAAGAGCUAUUUGUUCCAAUCCAAUCUUAGAGGCCAAAUGACACCCAAGCGUAUUCAAGGAAGUUGCUCAGCACAAAAGGAAAAAAUAAAGGGCAAGAAAAAGAGUACUACUCAACCAAAAUUGAUAUUCACCAACUUGCUAUUAGUUCUCUUUUCCAAUAUUACUGGAAGUGGUCUCAAAUUCAAAUCCUUCUUCCUGUUGAUAGUGAUGCUACUCAUGCAUGCCGCAGUUUCCUGAAAGACCACGCAAUAUGUGGAGGAAGCAUGUGUGUGUGUGUAUUCGCAUAUUCUUUUUCUAUUUCAGUUAAUAACUUGUGUAGGGUUGCAUCGAUUGAUGCGUGUGGUGGUGAUCGAUGACAGGAAGCAUAUUGCUUGGCACUUGGGAAGCUGAAAGCAGCAAUGGAGGAACCUCAGCAGAAGUCCAUGGAGUUCAUAACUAACAUGCAGGUGCAACUUGAGGAUCUCACAAACAACUCCCAUCUGCCUGAUCAACCUGCACCCGCCUCACUUUCUGGUUAGUUUGAAUGACUUUUUUGAAGCUUCAAUAACAGCUUCGUAAAAUUAAUACAUGAAUACUAAUUACUAACUACUCUUGUUCUGAACCUUGAAAUUAAUAUCACAGGUGAAAGCUAGAGAUGACUGUAGCACAAGGGCCAUGGGACAAAGAUGAAUUCUGCAGGGUUUAAGAUGUGCUUUCAUAACCAUUAAUAUGAAUAUUGCAGAAUGGUAUCUGCCACCAUUGAUCCUUUUUGUGAGUUGUGACAAUUUCAAGAACCUGUAAACAUGUGUUAUCUGGUCCUUAAUCAAACAUUAGAUAUCUAGAAGUGAAUUUUAGGCAUAUGAGUCGGGAAAAAAGCACUUGGGUCUUGAAUUCAGAAUAUUUUCUUUUUAAUUUUUCACCUUUUGUGGCUUAAAUAGUCAUUUCAUAUAGACCUUAUGAAUCGUUUAAUAUUAAAUUUUUUAGUAAUGCUAGGCAGACCAAUUUUUUGAAUGCAUUUUUGCUCACCACUCUAUUUAUGAUCUGAGAUUUGUGUAUAUCCACUACACAGAUCUCGAAAUUUAAACUCAUCUACUUGUUAGCAAAUAUAUAUUACUAUUGACGCGCCCAAAAAAAAACAACAAUUAGAGAUUAAUUAAAUCAUGAUUCUGUUUAAUUAGCUUUGAUUAAAUUGGAAAGCAUCAGAAGAAGUUUAUACAUUAUCAGCUUAAAUGUUCAUGCAGUGCAGCUUAUUUCUUCAAAUAUCUAAGAACAUCCCACUUUAUUUCAAUUGGUUUGGUUGUCCAGCUUAGUUGGAAACCAUGCUCUCGGUCUCUUUCACGAAACCGUCUCCUGUCCAGUCUUUAUCAGAUUGCAAUCCUUUCCGGAUGGCUUUCCUCUGUUUGAUUGCUUCCUGUUGUCUUGUUACUAAAUCUGUAUGUGUUGUAAAGUAUUCGAGAGAAGCCCUGCAAAUUCAUCAAAAAUAUCAAAAUAAAAUACGAGUGAAAUUCAUUUUUCACCUCAAGAAAUGUUCUGUUUAGAUUUAACAUUCGUUCUUCGUAAAGCACAUACCCCCUGAAAUCUUCAAUGGAUGAGAAAUUGUGCUGUUUCAUAAAAUCCUUCAGCUCGGAACAAAGUUUCUUCACAACACCAUAUCCGUGCAUCAUGACCCCGGUGCAGACCUGCAAAUGAAACUCAAUAAUUUCAAAUGCGCAUUAAAGCUCCACUUUUGUAUAUGCUAAGACCUUUCCAGUGACUUCCACCAGUCGUGCUUUCCAAUCAGUUAUCAUGGCACGUUGCUUAAAUAACAUUUGCAGCAUGAUAGAUUAAGUUUCCUGAACCUGAACUAGUCAUUAGACUCUUCCUAACGUAAAUUAGCAUUCGAGAGGAAAUCUUAUCUCCAUAGUUCAUACCAACAAUGACAUCUCCGAGAGACAAAAAAAGCAUCUGUAUAUUUCUAAGUCAAUUAUGAGAUGCAUUAUUCAUUGUCAGGUUAUACUGAGAGAUCCUGAGAUCCAUUCUACAGUGGCGUUGAAUGUCCAAAGAGUCGGUCACUCCACCUAACUAUAGAAAUCACAUCAUUUUAAUAUACAGAAACUACAACAAUUAGUUCUCAACCUACCUGAACAGUAUUUGCUCCAAGAAGAAUGAACUCAGCAGCAUCGCCACCUGACUCAACACCCCCAAUACCAGAAAGCGAGUAAUCUGUAUCACCAAACUCUGAUUUCAUUAAUUUUGCUAUGUUCAUCACUUUUGCCAAUGCAAUCGGAUGAACUGCUUUAGCCGAAUAGCCCCCAGGAGUUGAGUAUCUGAGAGAAAAUUUAGGCAUGUUUCCCUGAGAUGAAUGACAAUUCAAACCGAACAAUAUGAAUUUCUGGUUUUGGCAGCAUACCCCUCCACACAAGGCUCAGGCCGUAAGGUAGUUAGAUUGAUCCCCAUUACACUCAUGAUGGUAUUAAUAGCUGCCACGCCCUCACAUCCUGAGCUCAGAGCCACUCGAGCUGGCUAUAAACAAAACGAUAACGGAUCUGAGCAAGAUCACAAUAGAUAUAACUGUCCAUGAAAGUGAUAAACAUCUCGUAACAUGCAUAUAAUAGAAAAUGUACAUAAAUACAACAACAACAACAACAAAGCCUUUUCCCACUAAGUGGGGUCGGCUAUAUGAAUCCUAGAACGCCAUUGCGCUCGGUUUUGUGUCAUGUCCUCCGUUAGAUCCAAGUACUCUAAGCCUUUUCUUAGAGUUUCUUCCAAAGUUUUCCUAGGUCUUCCUCUACCCCUUCGGCCCUGAACCUCUGUCCCGUAGUCACAUCUUCGAACCGGAGCGUCAGUCGGCCUUCUUUGCACAUGUCCAAAUCACCGGAACCGAUUUUCUCUCAUCUUUCCUUCAAUUUCGGCUACUCCUACUUUACCUCGGAUAUCCUCAUUCUCAAUCUUAUCCUUUCUCGUGUGCCCACACAUCCCACGAAGCAUCCUCAUCUCUGCUACACCCAUUUUGUGUACGUGUUGAUGUUUCACCGCCCAACAUUCUGUGCCAUACAACAUCGCUGGCCUUAUUGCCGUCUUAUAAAAUUUUCCCUUGAGCUUCAGUGGCCUACGACGGUCACACAACAUGCUGGAUGCACUCUUACACUUCAUCCAUCCAGCUCGUAUUCUAUGGUUGAGAUCUCCAUCUAAUUCUCCGUUCUCUUGUAAGAUAGAUCCUAGGUAGCGAAAACGGUCGCUUUUUGUGAUCUUCGCUAAAUUGCUCCGGUCAUUAGUGUGGAUAAGUAUAUAAAUGGAUAGAGAUAGGAAAGCAAACACAAGAUGUACGUGGUUCACCCAGAUUGGCUACGUCCACGGAAUAGAAGAGUUCUCAUUAAUUGUGAAGGGUUUACACUAGUACAUAGGUUCAAGCUCUCCUUUAGUGAGUACAAGUGAAUGAUUUAGUACAAAUGACAUUAGAGUACAAAUGACAUUAGGAAAUAUUGUGGGAGAAUGAUCUCGUAAUCACGAAACUUCUAAGUAUCGGAGUGUGGUAUCAUCUUGACUUGCCUUAUCUGUCUCAUAGGUAGAUGUGGCAGCUUCUCUGGAAGUACUCUUCAUCCAUCCAGGGGUGGUAUCUUUAACUGGUGGAGAUGCACAAGGUAAUGUAUCAAUUUCACUUGAAGCUUACUUGUAGUUUCAGGCUUGGUCAAGCGCGAUAUAAACCAUGUAGUAGGAGUCCCCCAAGUCGCCGAGCUAGGGGAUUUGCUGAAAGAGGUGACAGACAAGGUAAGCAAUCAGAGCUCCGGCUGAUUGUUCACCUUCUCCCCAUCUUGCAGCAGCAUGAAGGAUAAAAAGAAGAAAAAUGAGAAGAGAUGAUAUGGGAUACUUUUGCUUUUGAAGAAGUAACUUUCCACAGGCUUAUUCUUGAACUGAGCUGGAGGGUUUUCUGGUUUCCUCCAGAGUAUAAAGGCCGACUGAAGAAUUUGAGGGUCAAAACAAGUCCAUCAAAUCUAGAGUACGUUCGACCCUGCUGAUAUGGGAUACUUUUGCUUUUGAUAGAGUAAUGGAUGGAUCGGCACGUGUGCUGUUACGCUUGUCUCCACAUGCUUCCUUGUAUCCUUCGCACUUGCCCUAUCUGUUCCUCAAGCAGAUGCGGUAUCUUCCCUGGCAACAUAAGAUGUUGAAGAUGAGUACUCGAGAGCAAUGCCAGGUAAGUAAUCAGGUAAGGGGUUCCAGGCUGUCAGUUCCUGGCUGGGAGCUUGAUUUCAAGUGCUGACUGAUUGCUCUCUUUCUCCUUGUCUUGCAGGUAAAAAACAAGGCCAAAGGAAAAGACAGGGAAAAAGCAUGAUAUGGGAUACUCUUGCUUUUAACCCUGAUGAUAUGAGAUAUUCUUGCUCUAGUAUAGCUUGUUUGCAGAGGUAUUAUCGGGGGGAAAGAAGCUGAAUAUUUCGAAAGGCUUCGUUGGGAGUGCCCUCUCAGAUAUGAGGAAGGGUUGAGCAUUUUUGCAGGUCUGCCUGUCCGUUGGGGAUGGAGGUCGACAUAUAUAGGAGUCUCCCUAACAACAAGUAGUAAUGCUAUUCCUUUACCCUGCUUGGUCAUAGCACGGUAGUGGGAGCUGCCAGCUUCACAUGUUUUAACUCUGUCAGAGCACUUUGAAAAAGUGGUAUGUGGUAUCUGGCUCUCGAGAUUCGAAGAACGAUGCUUCUUCGAUUUUUGAGAAAGCAAUCAUGGUGGGGGUCUGGCUCUCGAGAUUCGGGGAGCAGUGUCUCUUCGAUUUUUGAGAAAGUAAUCAUGUUGGGAGUCUGGCUCUCGAGAUUCGGAAGGCGGUGCCUCUUCGAUUUUGGAGUAAGCAAUCUUGUUGGGAGUGAUUUCUUGGAUGUGAGUAAAGGUUGGGCAUGUUUGCUAGUCUACCUUGCCACGAAGCACGGAGGUUGACACACAGGGACUUUCCAAUUAUCCAGCAGUGGUACUGUUCCUUUACCCUUGUGGGUAAUAAUAUGGUAGCUAGACCUUCAAAAUUUAUGUGUCUAAACUUUGUUAGUGCUGUUUCUUUGCUAUUCUUUUACCUUUCUUGGUCAGAGCGAUGUAGUGGGAGCUGCAAGCUUCACGUGCUCAACUUUGGCAGAGACUUUGACAAAGUUAUCUGUGGUACCCAUGAGCUAUUGUUGCGUGUGGGAAGUGGGUGAUUGAACAGUAAGAUUCAUGUGCUUUCUACUUCACCAGAAGUCUUCGACAGAAUGCCCAUAAUUUCCGCAAAGCUGAGUGUGCUUGUGACAGGUGCUGACAAGGCUAGAAAAGAAGGUGCCUCUUCGAUUUCUGAGAUCGGCCCUCGUGGUCUCUGAGCAGCCCAGCUUUUGAGAAAGCGAGCGCCUCUUCGAUUGAUUCGGAGAACGAUGCCUCUUCGAUUUUUGAGAAAGCAAUCAUGCUGGGGGUCUGGCUCUCGAGAUUCGGGGAGCAGUGUCUCUUCGAUUUUUGAGAAAGAAAUCAUGUUGGGAGUCUGGCUCUCGAGAUUCGGAGGGCGGUGCCUCUUCGAUUUUGGAGCAAGCAAUCUUGUUGGGAGUGUUUUCUCGAAUGUGAGUAAAGGUUGGGCAUGUUUGCUAGUCUACCUUGCCACGAAGCACAGAGGUUGACACACAGGGACUUUCCAAUUAUCCAACAGUGGUACUGUUCCUUUACCCUUGUGGGUAAUAAUAUGGUAGCUAGACCUUCAAAAUUUAUGGGUCUAAACUUUGUUAGUGCUGUUUCUUUGCUAUUCUUUUACCCUUCUUGGUCAGAGCGAUGUAGUGGGAGCUGCAAGCUUCACGUGCUCAACUUUGGCAGAGAACUUUGGCAAAGUUAUCUGUGGUACCCAUGAGCUAUUGCUGCGUGUGGGAAGUGGGUGAUUGGACAGUAAGAUUCAUGUGUUUUCUACUUCUCCAGAAGUCUUCGACAGAAUACCCAUAAUUUCCGCAAAGCUGAGUGUGCGUGUGACAGGUGCUGACAAGGCUGGAAAAGUAGGUGCCUCUUCGAUUUCUGAGAUCGGCCCUCGUGGUCUCUGAGGAGCCCAGCUUUUGAGGAAGCGAGCGCCUCUUCGAUUUCUGAGAUCGGCUUUCGUGGUCUUUGAGCAGCCCAACUUUUGAGAAAAGCAAACACCUCUUCGAUUUAUGAGAUCAUCCCUCGUGGUCUCUAAGCAGCCCAGCUUUUGAGAAAGCAAACGCCUCUUCGAUUUCUGAGCAGGCGCCUUUUCGAUGUCUGAAGCUCCGUCGAGUGCAGCUUUUUAUAGGGGCUGGCAUUAAGUUCCAAAGCACACUUGAAUCUCCACCAGUAGAAGCUCCAUUCUUGCACUUCUAAGAUCUUGAUUUGUCCGACCUCUUUCUCUCUUCAAUACCUUUGAAAAUGUCUGGCCCCUCCGACCGUCGUUUUGACUUGAACCUUGUUGAAGAGGCAGCCCCGCCUUCUCCAGACAACAUAUAUGGCGCCCAUCAUUCGUCUCCCCUACUGGUCCUCUUACCGUUGGGGAUUCCGUGAUGAAGAAUGAUAUGACCGCUGCGGGUGGUGGCCAGGAACCUUCUCACUCCCAAAGAUAACAGACUACUUUCCAAACGGUCUGAUGAGUUAGCUGUUAAGGAUUCACUGGCUCUCAGUGUUCAGUGUGCAGGUUCUGUGUCUAAUAUGGCCCAACGCCUAUUUGCUCGAACCCGCCAAGUUGAAUCAUUGGCGGCCGAAGUGAUGAGUCUCAAACAGGAGAUUAGAGGGCUCAAGCAUGAGAAUAAACAGUUGCACCGGCUCGCACAUGACUAUGCUACAAACAUGAAGAGGAAGCUUGACCAGAUGAAGGAAACUGAUGGUCAGGUUUUACUUGAUCAUCAGAGAUUUGUGGGUUUGUUCCAAAGGCAUUUAUUGCCUUCGUCUUCUGGGGCUGUACCGCGUAAUGAAGCUCCAAAUGAUCAACCUCUGAUGCCUCCUCCUUCUAGGGUUCUGUCCAGUACUGAGGCUCCGAAUGAUCCCCCUCCGAUGCCUUCUCUUUCUGGGGCUCUACCGACUGCUGAGACUUCUCCUAAGCAACCUUUGUGAAGGCUCCAUCUUGUUUGUUUAUUUUGACUCAUGUAUAUGUACAUAUUUGUAGCUUAUCGGGGAUAUCAAUAAAUAAGUUUUCCUUCAUUUCAACGUAUUAUGUUAAAUACACCAAAGCCUUCUUCGCUAAGUUCUUUGAAUUUUCUUUUGUUGAAGCUUGUAUGUUGAAGCUUUCUGAGUGGAGCAUGUAGGUUGGGGUAGUGUUCCCUUAAUUUUUCGAGUGAGGAAAACUUCUCGGUUGGAGACUUGGAAAAUCCAAGUCACUGAGUGGGAUCGGCUAUAUGAAUCUUAGAACGCCAUUGUGCUCGAUCCUGUGUCAUGUCCUUCGUUAGAUCCAAGUACUCUAAGUCUUUUCUUAGAGUCUCUUCCAAAGUUUUCCUAGGUCUUCCUCUACCCCUUCGGCCCUGAACCUCUGUCCCAUAGUCGCAUCUUCUAAUCGGAGCGUCAGUAGGCCUUCUUUGCACAUGUCCAAACCACCGUAACCGAUUUUCUCUCAUCUUUCCUUCAAUUUCGGCUACUCCUACUUUACCCCGGAUAUCCUCAUUCCUAAUCUUAUCCUUUCUCGUGUGCCCACACAUCCAACGAAGCAUCCUCAUCUCCGCUACACCCAUUUUGUGUACGUGUUGAUGCUUCACCGCCCAACAUUCUGUGCCAUACAGCAUCGCCGGCCUUAUUGCCGUCCUAUAAAAUUUUCCCUUGAGCUUCAGUGGCAUACGGCAGUCACACAACACGCCAGAUGCACUUUUCCACUUCAUCCAUCCAGCUUGUAUUCUAUGGUUGAGAUCUCCAUCUAAUUCUCCGUUCUUUUGCAAGAUAGAUCCUAGGUAACGAAAACGGUCGCUCUUUGGUAUUUCUUGAUCUCCGAUCCUCACCCCUAACUCGUUUUGGCCUCCAUCUGCACUGAACUUGCACUCCAUAUAUUCUGUCUUUGAUCGGCUUAGGCGAAGACCUUUAGAUUCCAACACUUCUCUCCAAAGGUUAAGCUUUGCAUUUACCCCUUCCUGAGUUUCAUCUAUCAACACUAUAUCGUCUGCGAAAAGCAUACACCAAGGAAUAUCAUCUUGAAUAUGUCCUGUUAACUCAUCCAUUACCAACGCAAAAAGGUAAGGACUUAAGGAUGAGCCUUGAUGUAAUCCUACAGUUAUGGGAAAGCUUUCGGUUUGUCCUUCAUGAGUUCUUACGGCAGUCUUUGCUCCUUCAUACAUAUCCUUUAUAGCUUGGAUAUAUGCUACUCGUACUCCUUUCUUCUCUAAGAUCCUCCAAAGAAUGUCUCUUGGGACCCUAUCAUACGCUUUUUCCAAAUCUAUAAAGACCAUGUGUAAAUCCUUUUUCCCAUCUCUAUAUCUUUCCAUCAAUCUUCGUAAGAGAUAGAUUGCCUCCAUGGUUGAGCGCCCUGGCAUGAACCCGAAUUGGUUGUCCGAAACCCGUGUCUCUUGCCUCAAUCUAUGCUCAAUGACUCUCUCCCAGAGCUUCAUUGUAUGACUCAUUAACUUAAUACCUCUAUAGUUCAUGCAAUUUUGUACGUCGCCCUUAUUCUUGUAGAUAGGCACCAAAGUGCUCGUUCGCCAGUCAUUUGGCAUCUUCUUCGUUUUCAAAAUCCUAUUGAAAAGGUCAGUGAGCCAUGUUAUACCUGUCUCUCCCAAAACUUUCCACACUUCGAUUGGUAUAUCGUCUGGGCCUAUUGCUUUUCUAUGCUUCAUCUUCUUCAAAGCUACAACCACUUCUUCCUUCCGGAUUCGACGAUAAAAAGAGUAGUUUCUACACUCUUCUGAGUUACUCAACUCCCCUAAAGAAGCACUCCUUUCAUGUCCUUCAUUGAAAAGAUUAUGAAAAUAACCUCUCCAUCUGUCUUUAACCGCGUUCUCUGUAGCAAGAACCUUUCCAUCCUCAUCCUUGAUGCACCUCACUUGGUUUAGGUCCCUUGUCUUCUUUUCCCUUGCUCUAGCUAGUUUAUAGAUAUCCAACUCUCCUUCUUUGGUAUCUAGUCGUUUAUACAUAUCGUCGUAAGCCGCUAACUUAGCUUCUCUGACCGCUUUCUUCGCCUCUUGCUUCGCUUUUCUAUACCUUUCACCAUUUUCAUCGGUCCUCUCCUUGUAUAAGGCUUUACAACAUUCCUUCUUAGCCUUCACCUUUGUUUGUACCUCCUCAUUCCACCACCAAGAUUCCUUUUGGUGUGGGGCAAAGCCCUUGGACUCUCCUAAUACCUCUUUUGCUACUUUUCGGAUACAACUAGCCAUGGAAUCCCACAUUUGGCUAACUUCCCCCUCUCUAUCCCCACACACAUUGGGUGAUUACCUUCUCUUUGAAAAUGGCUUGUUUUUCUUCUUUUAGAUUCCACCAUCUAGUCCUUGGGCACUUCCAAGUCUUGUUCUUUUGUCUCCCUCUUUUGAUAUGUACAUCCAUCACCAACAAGCGAUGUUGAUUAGCCACGCUCUCUCCUGGUAUAACUUUGCAAUCCUUACAAGUUAUACGAUCCCCUUUCCUCAUUAGAAGAAAAUCUAUUUGUGUUUUUGACGACCCACUCUUGUAGGUGAUCACAUGUUCUUCUCUCUUCUUAAAGAAGGUGUUGGCUAAGAAGAGAUCAUAUGCCAUUGCAAAAUCCAAGAUAGCUUCCCCAUCCUCGUUUCUCUCCCCAAAACCAUGGCCACCAUGAAAACCUCCAUAGUUGCCUGUCUCCCUGCCCACGUGUCCAUUUAGAUCUCCUCCUAUAAAUAACUUCUCCGUCUGAGCAAUUCCUUGCACCAAGUCUCCAAGGUCUUCCCAAAAUUUCUCCUUCGAACUCGUAUCCAACCCUACUUGAGGUGCGUACGCACUAAUCACAUUGAUAAGUUCUUGUCCUAUUACAAUCUUGAUUGCCAUGAUUCUAUCUCCUACCCUCUUGACAUCUACAACAUCUUGUGUCAAGGUCUUGUCCACGAUGAUGCCAACACCGUUUCUCGUUCUAUUUGUGCCCGAAUACCAAAGUUUAAACCCUGAGUUUUCUAGAUCCUUUGCCUUACUACCAACCCACUUAGUUUCUUGUAGGCACAUAAUAUUUAUCCUUCUCCUCACCAUAACUUCCACUACUUCCAUAGAUUUUCCCGUUAAGGUUCCUAUAUUCCACGUUCCUAAACGCAUUUUGCUCUCUUGAACUCUACCCUUCUGUCCUAGCUUCUUCACCCUUCCCCGUCUAAUAGGAUCAAAGUACUUCUUUUGUGUGUCCCGUGUAAAGUUGAUAGGAGCAUAUGCUCCCAAACAACUUUGAGUGGAGUCGUUCGAAAAGAAGUUUCUACGGCCCCCUUGCUCAUUUAACACUGCAUCCGGGUGCCGAUGGAGAUACAGCGACCCUUGCUCACUUAUCACUGUGCUCGGGCCACACAGCGCGCCACUUACGGGUGACGCCCUAGCUUUAGCGCGAUUUUGUUCUGGAUUCAUUUUCAUAAGGAUUCGACGUGAUCAUGCUAAGACCUUUCCAGUGACUUCCACCAGUCGUGCUUUCCAAUCAGUUAUCAUGGCACGUUGCUUAAAUAACAUUUGCAGCAUGAUAGAUUAAGUUUCCUGAACCUGAACUAGUCAUUAGACUCUUCCUAACGUAAAUUAGCAUUCGAGAGGAAAUCUUAUCUCCAUAGUUCAUACCAACAAUGACAUCUCCGAGAGACAAAAAAAGCAUCUGUAUAUUUCUAAGUCAAUUAUGAGAUGCAUUAUUCAUUGUCAGGUAAUACAAGGAGUCAACACAUCUUUAGGAAUGCAAGAGAAGGCGAAAGCAAGUUAACCUGUGUGAUGUCAGUAAUGUUAGGAGUCAUCUUUGCCCAAACAGGAACUGUGGCUUUGGCAUUGAUCCAGCCACAGACUUCUUCCAGAAGUGCACAGUCUUGACCAACCGCAGCACCCAUCCUGCGCUCUGGCAUACCAUGAGGACAAGAAAAAUUGAUUUCAAGGGCAUCCUGAGGAAAAAAAUUCUGGUGUUAGAUGGAAGACAAUCCAAGAUCAAAGUACAAAAGUUAUAACAGAAAUUUAGUUAAGUACUAUAACUUACAACUCCAGUUUGCUCAACACGGUCAAUAAGUUCCUCCCAGCCAGCUUUAUUGUAUUCCUCCAUAAUUGAAGCAAUCAGAAUCCUAUCUGGAUACUCUUCUUUUAGUUGCUUAAAUUCUUUCAACAUAAUUUCAAGAGGUCGAUCACUGAUCAGUUCUAUGUUCUGCCACCCAAUAAUUUGCCCUUUGGCAGAGCCAUUUCCUUCUACUCGUAGCCGAGCAUAUCGAGGAGUGACAUUUUUUACCUUUUCUGCAUCUAGUGAUACCUAUCAAAACAUAAAUUAAGAUUGAAUUGAAAAAUUGCAAUGUGAAGAGUUUCCACUCACAUGCACGCAAAACAGAAUACCUUAACCAACUAUUAUCUGUAGUUCCUAUCUUUAAGAUCCCUUUCUUUGCAUGAUACCCAGUCAACUGGUUCAUAGGUCAUUUUUUUCAUACAAAAAGGCUAAAUGCACAUAUUUGUCCACUUUACUAUCAUCAAGUUUGGUUUUUUGGCUCUUUAAAACUAAGUACUGAUUUGGUACUGAGGUGCUUUUUUAUAAAAAGUGGGUAUAAAGAAAAGCUGAGCUCAAAAAGGUGUUUGGUAAACACUUAAAAACAGCUUAUUUUCACAGUUUUGGGUGAAAAAAAGCUGAAAACGCAGAAAAAAUGAGUUUAUUCUCACAGCACAGUAGAAGCAGUUUUUUUUCAAAGCAGAACAAUACCAAACCAGCGUAUAUGGCUUUAACUAAGAGAUGGCAUUGUAGAUCAGCAAAUGGGCUUUCACUUUCGACAAUUUUAGCCACAAAAAUAACUAAAUCUUAAUACUUUUCGGUCGAACACAUCUGCUAACAGGACAUUAUUAGCAAAUCACUUAAACGAUUUUGCUAAAAUGGCACCAACUACAUAAAAUCGAAGAUAUCAAACACACAUAAUCAUCCAAGUUUCAUUCUUUACUUCAUCAUACUACCACCCAAUAUCUCUGCUAAUCAUCAUUCUAAAAUUUCUUUUCCUGGACUUUCUCGGUAACCAAACAGCUGAAUUAUGAAAAAGCUUAUAAUCAAACAGUCCAACCUUGCAAAUUCACAAUCUUUUCAUCCAAUUCAAACUCAGGAUCCAAACGAAAGAGAAAGAGAGCAACAAGACAUACAGUUUUGGCAAUCACAGCACCCCAGCCUUCAUCAAAGGCCCUCUUCAUCACCGUAUAGUUAGUCCCGGGCGGACCCGACCCGAUAACGAACGGGUUGGGCAUGUGCAACCCAUUAACAGUAACACUAAGAUUAGGUUCCGCCUUGCUCUCGGAGGCCAACACCCUGAACCCAACUCGGUUGGGCCGAAUCAAACCCAGCUCAGGACGAGUCCUUCUGGAAAACUCAGCAACUGGGUUGUUGCCUUUGAUCUGCGUAAAGCUUAAAGACGCCAUGGAUCAAGAAUUUGGGUCACUCUUCUGCAAGUAAACUGGAGGAAUGAAUAACAGGAAGGAGCAGAGGAAGAAGAACAAGACGGUGAUGAUCGAGAUUGAAUCCGAGUUAAAAAUAUUCAGUUGGCUCUAGAAAGAGGGAGAGAGAGACGGGAGGUUGAAGGAAUCGGUUGCGUCUUGUAGCGUUUGAUCGACUUGGAUUGAAGGUGGAAAAUUGGAAUUUUAUAAUUCGUAGAGAGAAUGCAUGUGGAUGGUGACAGACGGGAUUGGCAGUGGCACUUGGUUUGUUGACAUUUUCGGGAGUUAUUCCAUUCAUCGUAAAGGCCUGUGGUGGUAGAUAAAUCCAAAUGGAUUAGAUAAGAAUUUCUAUUUGUCGUGACACUAUGGGGAUGUAUUUAAUUGAGAUUUUAAGCGAUUUUAAAAUAUAAGUUAUUAUCUGAAAUUGAAUAUGUAUUCAAUUCGGAUUUUAAGUCAUUCUCUGAAAUUUAAUGUGUAUUCAAUCAGUAUUUUAAGAUAGUUUAUUAAAAUCCUUUGAAAUCUAGGUGUAUUCAAUUAAAAUUUUAAAGAAGUUUAUAACAUUCCAGGUGUAUUCAAUUAUAAUUUGAAUUUAAAGAAUUUGACAGAGUUAAGGAAUCAGAGGGAAUUAGAGAGAUUUUAUAAUGUAUUUUAAGCAUCCACAAAUCCCAUAUAUUCGGAUGAGAUUUCGAGGAAAUUGAAUCAAAAUUUUAGAUGAAAUCUCUACAAAUCAGUUAAACUCUAUAAAAAUUUAUGAAUUUAUAAAUCCAUUAAAAUCUCUCAAAAUCCUAAUUGAAUACACCUCCCCUUAGUGUGAAUGUUACAUACGAAAUUAUACAAGGAAACAACUCAAAUUAAAUUUUUGGGGGCAACCAUUAAAGGUUUUAGGUGAAAAGUCUUAGUGUGGUAAGAUUUUCUUUUGAUACAUAUAAGGUUGUGUCGGAUCAAAACAUUUAUAUCUAGAUAUAUGUUUGUAAUCUCGUUACAACACAUAAGAUCAAGAGUGAAAGUAAUAAUAUCAAUAUCCCAUCUCUCCAUUUACUUGCAUCUUUUAUAUGAUACAAUUAAAAAAAAAACAAUAUGAUACAUUACACCCAUUUCACUUAUAUCUCAAACAAAAGUUAUCUCUCUCACACUUUUGUCUAUUUAUAACAAAUUUCUCUUUCUUACUGCAUUACAUGUUAAGAAUUAUAAAGGGAUGUGAACUUUUUCUCUGAGUUGCAAUUUGUCACAUGAAAAACAAACGGAAAAGAUACUUUUUCUUCUUCUUUUCAUUUGGUUUACAAGCAACUCUAAAUAGAGUUGGCAAAUAGGUCAUGUUUGUGUUAUGAUCAUUAUCUUAAUGAAUUAUAUCAUGUCAAAUUUGUUACCUUAAUAAAUUUUUUCAUGUAAUUCUAUAAAUAUGAUGCACGGAUACAACAGUUCUGUCACGCAUUGCGUAUCAGAUAUACGAGUGGAUACAAUAUGGUCGGAUACGUAGCUAGAUCAACAAAAACGGUGUUUGACGGAUGAAUAUAGGUAUUACGACGAUUUGGAUACAGAUAUCCCCGCAAUUAAUUGCCUUUGAUGCAAUAUGGCGGAAAAAGGCCUUGGGAUGGAGAUGACACAAUCUGGUGGAAGGAGUAUUAAACUAAACAUGGUAAAUACCAAUAUCAAACUAAACAUGGUAAAUACCAAAAAUAUAUAUGACAAUACUUGGGAAUUUCUUAUAUAUUUAUUAAUCUCCAAAGUGGAGUAUAUAUAGGAGUUACAAUUGGUAUUACAUAUGUACUUCACCAAUGUGGGACAAUAAACUACUAUUUAUAAUUUAACUAAUAUAUAACUCGCAACACUCCCCCUCAAGUUGGUGCAAAGAUGUCACGCAUG